rnacentral:lncRNA from 1 species
UAAAUAAAUAAGUAAUUAUUUAAUUUAUUAUUUAUGAUUAAUUCGCUCAUUAAGAAUUAAUUAUUUAAUUGAUAUUUUGAUAUUAAUUAAUUGGAUAAAAUAUUAUUAUGUAAUUUAAAAUUAUAACUACUUUUAAUCCCACUAUUCUAAUCUAACCAUCCAAAAUACUAUUUAUCUUACUCUCAGAAACAAUCUAUUUUUAUCUAAAUAAAAAUUUACUCUAAUUUCUGUUUAUAUGUAUCUAAACUUAUACCUAUUUCUCAAAUAAAUAGUUCUUAUUUAUAUCCGAACCAAACGAAGCCUUAGGCCCAGUUUGGUUUGGGAAUAAAGCGGGAAAAACAAAAGAUAUCCCCGCUAUUCCACCAAACAGUAUAUAUUUUAGCUAAGAUAUUUUAUCAUGGUCAAACCUUGUUACUCCGGUUAUCCAGGAAGAUAUUGGAUAUACUACUCCAUCUUUUUGGCAGAAUAGUGUUAUUCUGAAGUUUAGUUCCAAGCUUUUUUAUGAUUAUAAAUUGAAUUACAACUAUAUUAGACAGGGUAAAAUCUUAUAUAGUAUGCUAAAUUAUUUUUAUAUAAAAUUACUAAUUGUACUAGAUUAAUUAUUGCAUAUUAUUUUAUAUUUAAAAAUUAUAAUAAAUUAUAUUUAAAUAUUAUAUUAAAUUAUUUCUAUUAAAUUUUAAGUUUAAGUGCAUGCUAGUUAGUUGGAAUAAUUAAGUUGAUCAAUGUAUGAUUAGUGAAGUAACCCACGCGAUGCGAUGAAUAGAUAAUUUAAAAAUAGAAAAUACUAGUAAGGAUAAUUUUCUAAAUUCUUAAACAAUUAUACGUAAGAAUGAUAAAAUGUUAAAAAUUUCAUAUUUAAUUAAUUAUAAAUUAAUUCAAAUGUAUAAACAAUCUACGUGUCUAAACUUCACAUUUCAAAAACAAAUGAAGAAAUUACUUGUUCAUUAAAUAAUCUGCAUAAUCACAUUUUAUUACACAAAUACAUAAGGUAAAAUAUAAGAAGUUAAAGCUUUGGUUUAAGCAAAGAAAGAGAAAAAAUCGAUUAAGUUCAAACAAAGAAAAAAGAAAAUAUGUAGAAAACUUAGGCCGGUUUCGGAUGGAGCCCAUAUACUCAACAAUAAAAGAACGCUGUCAUGUGGCAAAUUUAUGAAAAAUAACUUAUAGGUAUAGAUUUGUGCCAAAUAACUAUUAUUGAAAAUACUUUUUGAAGCAUAUCAUUGGCCCUACUAUGGCUGACAUGGUGAACCUGGUGCGGACAAUAUCUUCUUUGUUUGGUGUUUUUUUUUUUUUUUUUUUUUUUUUUUUUUUUUUUUUUUUUUUUUUUUUUUUUUUUCCGUCAAUGCAAACUACUCUACUACUCUGAAAAGAUAAAGAAAAAGGCUCCUGUCAAAUAAAGUCUUAUCUGUUAUAGUUAUUUUAUAUUGGAAUAAUAACAAUCAAUUAAAGUUCUCAAUAUUAUAUACAAAGUGACAAAAUAAAAAAUUAAAAUUUUGAUUAUAUAAUUUUAGUAUAAAAUUAUCAUAUUAUUCUAAAAUAGAUCAUCCUUUAUCAUUUUACAUGGCACAAUAUAAUUCAUUUGGAAUUCUAUAUUUACACCUAUCGCUUAUUACAAAGAAGAUCUUUUCCUUUCCUUCACCCUCAGACUUGUACAACUAAGGGUAUGUUUGUUUCAUCAGAACUGAACUUUAGGUUGAAGUGAAUUUUUGGUUGAAGUGGAGUUUGGUGAAAACUACUUUUUUCCUGCUGUUUGUUUUGUAGUUAUGAAAGUGACUUUUUAUUAGUUCUGCUAUUUGUUUGGUAAGAAGUGUACGAUUUAAAACUAUAAUUUAUAUAUAAAUAAUAAAUAAUUUAAUAAAUAAAAAUAAUAUAAUUAUAUUUUUAUAUAAUUAAAAUUUAAUUUAAAACAACUAUAUUAUUUUUUUAUACAUANCCCGCCCGCUCCUCUACGACCGCCCCUGCCUCGGGACGUCGUCCAACAACGACUCCAGCUCCCGCCACUCCAACCCCUCGCUCCGCUUCAGCUCGCGCAGCUCGCACGGCAACUCCAACCUCAACCCCUCCGACUCGAGGUGCUGCCUAAGCGGGCGCCGCAGCGUGGCGUGCGGCCGGGUCGCCGUGCCCCGCCGUCUACGCAACAACCUUUCCCUGGUGCUGCUUUCGCUAACGCCAAGCAUGUUCGACCGAAAGGUAAAGUCUUCGCGGAGACGAAGGCUUUCGCGAAAGGGCCACCUUUACCUAUUCUUCUUCUUCUUCUUCUUCUUCUGCUGCUGCUACGCUUUCUCCGCCUACCUCUCGAACCCCUCCCCUGCAAAGUACCGGCUCAAUCACACCUCUACUACUCAGCCCUGAGCCCUGACCCCUGAGCCCUGAGCCCUCAACUAAAUAUUUUUAAUUAUUAUUGCUUGGGGGCCCGGAAAAAGUCAGUAAACAUAUCACCCCUAUCACCCUCACUGUCGCUGUCGCUCUCAGUUUAUUCCUCCCAAAUAAUUAUAAGCCCAAUUCACCACCAAUAUCCACACGCCCACACUUUCGAAAAGGCACACCUAAAACCCAAACUACCCGAGUCUCCCACCUGAUAACUUCUUGGAACGACGAACCGUAACGAAUUUAAACUACUUCUUCUUUGUGUCAGCCAUUCUAAGGUGUUAAUUACGUAUUUUAAAUAAUGCAUGUUUGGUAGGUGAAAAAUCCGGGGCCGCACGCUAUGCUCUUUCACAAAAAAUAUUGUUCAUAAAUUAUUCCCGUUAAAGUGGUGAUCGGGGGAAUUUAUAUAUUUAUAGCAUUUAUAGGGAUAUUUUAAUUUUUAUAGUAUAUAUGGAGAAGUUUACAUCUUUUAAUAGUGUUUAUGGAAAAGAAGUUUGCCUGUAAUUCUAAUUCAAUAUUUUAUUGAUUAAAUAAGAACCAACCCAACAAGAAAACUGUCGUUGAUUAUUUCCUUAUUAAAGUAUUUAUGGGAAAUUUAAAAUUUUUAUUAUUAAAAAUCAUGAUUAAUAACCACCUAUUUUAUACACCUUUGGGAGUGGAUAUCCAGUAAAACUUUAUCUGGGGGAAUGGAAGUUAAAAAAUUGUAAUUCUCGUGAACUUGAAAAUCAAAAAAAAAACAAAAAUAUAAAAUGAAUUAAUUUUCUAAAAGUUAACUCUAGGGAGCAUCUUCUUAAACUAUUUUAAAAAUUGAAUCAACCUUUUUUUUUAUGAGUUAACGUUUUUAUUUCUUAGUGAAUCCAACUCUGCUACAUAUAUAUAUCUUUCUCUCUCUCUUUUUCUCUCUCAUGCCGAUGAUAUGAGAAUAUUUAUGCUAGCGGAAGCAUGAGUAUUCAGCAAAAGUUACUAUCUCGAAGACUUAUCUACUAGGUAUAGCAAUUUAUAGUAGACCUUGUAAAUUUUGAAAAUUUUUAGUUUAAAAUAUUAAAAAACUAUAAUAAAUGGAAUGUUAUUUUUUUAGAGUUUUAACUGUUAACAAUUGCCACCCUAUCAACGAUCAAAUUGUUAUAUUUUCUUAGUCUUCAAUUUAAAAACUAUCCUUUAAUAUAAGUGAUAGAUCUAUCUUUAGUUAUUGAAACUAGAAUUUAACUUCUUAGGCUAGUAGAUAAAAAUCUUACAGCAAACUAAAACUGUUAAGUAAAAUACAGGUGAAACUAUCUGAAAUAAUAUUAAAGCUUUUUAAUGUUUUAAAUAAAAAAUCUUUAAAAUUUAUGAGAUUUAGUAAAAAUUGCUCGACCUAGCAGCUGAGCCUUCGAGGUAAUAGCUUUUGUUAAAUACUUAUGCUUUCCGAGAUAUAAGUAUUCUCAUAUCAUCGGGAUAAAAAUAUAUCAGGCCGAUAUCACAAACAUUUUCGUAGUUCGUGAACCAAGAAUAUUUAAAAAAUGGGAAUCUAGAUGGGAAACUAGUAAAGGUGGGCAAUCUAAUAUGAUAAAUUGGUUGGUGGGUGAGUUAUGAUCCCCAGGGAGUAGUAGAUUGACGUGUAGAGAAUUAGGUUACCUGUUUUUAGAUGUUGGUGGUUAUAAACUAUGAAAAUUUUCAUAUCCUCGAGUUAAUUAAUAUAUAUAUAUAUAUAUAUAUAUAUAUAUAUAUAAUAAGUUUCGAUCCUGAUACGACUUCACCCGAUUACCCACUCGUCCAGAAGUACGUUACAAUGAAAAAACAACUGUUAUUUACAAGUUAAUUUUUUGAUAACGAACUCACCCAGUAUACUUUUUGUGAUUAUAGUUUUUUUUAAAUAUAGUUUUAUAAAAAACAUACUGAAUACACUCAAUAAAUUUAUUUUAAGUUUUUUUUAAUUUAGAACUUUAAUUAUAACUUAUAAUGUUACCUGUUAACGUAAUGUUGAUAUAUAUUAAAUGUUCGCUUUUUAGUAUUGUUCUAAAUUAAUAAUGUGAAUUAUCUGAUAUCUAGAAAUUAACAUUUUAAAAUUUUUCUUACAACUUAAUAAUACACUAACUUUCCAAUUCUUAACUAGGACUAGUACAUUAAUUAGAAUUUAAUAAUGUGAAUCAAUUUAAUCAUUAUUCCCAUUUUACCCAUAAAUGUCUUAUAAUCUACUGAAAAAUUAUCUUAUAAUUAGAAUUCCCAUGACCACUUAUAAAAACGAAAAAUCUCCCCAUAACGACUAUAAAACAUUAAAUCUCCCCGUAAAUACUUUAAGAACAGAGGAUCUUCCCAUAACUACUUUAAUAGGGAUAAAUUAUAUUGUGGAUAACCCUAUCAGAGUAUUACUUAACAAUAGAUUUAACGAAAGAGAGUUCAAACUCCCGACCUGAUCAUGCUAAACACGCAAAAGUUUCUUCCGAGAUUCUAAACCAAAAAAGUAAGUUUUUCGAUAGUCAUUAAUCUCAAACUUUACUGUUAUAAGUAAAUUAUCUCGAUCAGAGGAUAUGAUAGAUAUUAUCGCCCCGAGGCCAGGAUAUCAAAAUAAAAGCUAAAAUCCCACAAGUUUAGUUGCUAGGUGUGGCAAUUUUAACUAGAUCCCAUAAAUUUCAAAAACCUUUAUUUUAAAAUAUAUAAAAGUUAUAUCAAAUGAAAUAUUAGUUUGGUAAAUUUUCAACAGUUAAAAGUUACCGAUGAUACCGUUCAUCUACCUGAUAUAUAUAUAUAUAUAUCAUAAAAUAAAUAUUUAAACAUUAAUAAAUAAUUAUAAAGAUUUAUAUAAUAUAUACUACAUUAUACAAGUAAUAUUAAAAUUUAUAUAAAUUAAAUAUAUAUUUUGAAUAUUGUUAUUAUAUAUAUUAUAUAAUUAAUAAUAUAUAAAUAAUAUAUAUAUUAUAAAAUAAAUAUUUAAACAUUAAUAAAUAAUUAUAAAGAUUUAUAUAAUAUAUACUACAUUAUACAAGUAAUAUUAAAAUUUAUAUAAAUUAAAUAUAUAUUUUGAAUAUUGUUAUUAUAUAUAUUAUAUAAUUAAUAAUAUAUAAAUAAUAUAUAUAUUAUAAAAUAAAUAUUUAAACAUUAAUAAAUAAUUAUAAAGAUUUAUAUAAUAUAUACUACAUUAUACAAGUAAUAUUAAAAUUUAUAUAAAUUAAAUAUAUAUUUUGAAUAUUGUUAUUAUAUAUAUUAUAUAAUUAAUAAUAUAUAAAUAAUAUAUAUAUUAUAAAAUAAAUAUUUAAACAUUAAUAAAUAAUUAUAAAGAUUUAUAUAAUAUAUACUACAUUAUACAAGUAAUAUUAAAAUUUAUAUAAAUUAAAUAUAUAUUUUGAAUAUUGUUAUUAUAUAUAUUAUAUAAUUAAUAAUAUAUAAAUAAUAUAUAUAUUAUAAAAUAAAUAUUUAAACAUUAAUAAAUAAUUAUAAAGAUUUAUAUAAUAUAUACUACAUUAUACAAGUAAUAUUAAAAUUUAUAUAAAUUAAAUAUAUAUUUUGAAUAUUGUUAUUAUAUAUAUUAUAUAAUUAAUAAUAUAUAAAUAAUAUAUAUAUUAUAAAAUAAAUAUUUAAACAUUAAUAAAUAAUUAUAAAGAUUUAUAUAAUAUAUACUACAUUAUACAAGUAAUAUUAAAAUUUAUAUAAAUUAAAUAUAUAUUUUGAAUAUUGUUAUUAUAUAUAUUAUAUAAUUAAUAAUAUAUAAAUAAUAUAUAUAUUAUAAAAUAAAUAUUUAAACAUUAAUAAAUAAUUAUAAAGAUUUAUAUAAUAUAUACUACAUUAUACAAGUAAUAUUAAAAUUUAUAUAAAUUAAAUAUAUAUUUUGAAUAUUGUUAUUAUAUAUAUUAUAUAAUUAAUAAUAUAUAAAUAAUAUAUAUAUUAUAAAAUAAAUAUUUAAACAUUAAUAAAUAAUUAUAAGAUUUAUAUAUUGACAUAAUACAUUAUACAAAUAAUAUUAAAAUUUAUAUAAAUUAGAUAUAUAUCUUUAAUAAUAUUAUUAUACAUAUCAUAUAAUUAACAAUAUAUAAUUAUUUUAUAUUAUUUUUUAAUAUCAUUUAUCGAAAAAUAGGUAAAAAUAUAAAUAAAAUUGAUUUGUUAGUAAUACUUUUUAAUAAUGAGAAAAAGAUGUUUAAUUUGUGAUUAGCUGCAUUUUGAUAAAAAAUGGCUUUUAUAAAAAAGUGGCUUUAAAAAAAAAAAGAUGUCAAAAUGGAUCUCGCUUUAUGUGGAUUUCGAGAGUUUGUUUACAUUCUAUCCUAAAAGGAGAUGAAGAAAUAACUAAUAAAUAACGCGGACCCCGAUAAAACCUUUUAUGUUAUGUAAAUAACUUUUGAAGCUCGAUAGGUUUGUCCUGUAAACUGAUUGAUGAUAAGCACACCAAGAAGCAUUUGCCAGUUUAACAGGAAAAGAUUUUAUUAUUCAUACGUAACUUUUAUGAGAAGUGUUUAACCGGGAACAGCCAAAAAAAAUAAAAACCACCCCAGAAUUAAUCAAACAAAGGUGGUUGUUCUCUCGAUGACGCUUUCCUUAAAGCGCAUGAAUAGGAUCUUUCCAAGGUGUUUUGCUACACUUGGGCGUACUCAAGUUUUUAUACUACAUAAAUAAUUUUUUUAAAACCUAAUUUUCAAAUUCUUAUAGUCAACUGUAAUGAUCAGAUUAUACUUAAGAAAAUGUAGGAAAUUUUCUCAUCGCAUCUCAAAAAUACGAUAAAUUAAUUAAUUACCAAUUCCUCUAAAGGUAGAUUCUACUCCGACCUCCCUCAACACUAUCUGGAUGACUUUUUGUAGAUUGGUUAAUUAUAAAUAAUAAAGCAAGGAUAGAUAGAUAUUAUUUUGUGUAUUAAACGGUGAAAGUAGCGUAGCACUUUUACCGAAAUGUAAUUUGGUACAGUAGCAGAUUCUCUGCUCGGUUACUCUCGUACGUUUUACAAGUUUUUGUUACAACCUACGUAGGCUACGUGGCAUUUGGUUAAGAUUUUUUAUAUAUUCUUUAUUUAAAAGCAUUAUAUUAUUUAAUAAAUUUAUAAAAUAUAAUAUGUAUAAUAUAUAUAGUAUAUAAUAAAACACUAUAAUUAGUAAUUUAUAAAGUUGUUAGUAGCAUAUGACAUACUGUAUACCUCGAAAUUAUAUGUGAUCCAUGUUGCUUUUAAAAAAGGGGAGAGGGACAAAAAAAAAAAAAAAAAAAAAAAAUGAUAUCACUCAACAUCCCCACCUUUGCUCGAUUUGAGCUCGCUCGAAUAGAACCGAGUUUAAGCCGAACUUUAAUUAAAGCUCGGAUUUAAAUUCGAGUUCGAACCUAACUUUAAUUAAGCUCGACUCGAGCUCGCUCGGAUUAAAGCUCAGCUCGCUCGAGCUCGAGAUUUGCUCGGCGAACUUUAAGAGUUGUAGUAUGCUAGUUAUCAAAUGUCUCACUCGCUUGGACCUCGGCAGCAACGGUUUCGCCGGCCCGAUCCCCCCGGAGAUCGGGCGGCUCUCUGAGCUCCUCGACCUCCGUCUCUACAACAACAACCUCGCCGGGCCCAUCCCCUUCCAGCUCAGCUACCUCCCCAAGGUGCACUACUUUGACCUCGGCUCGAAUUACUUGGCAAAUCCGGACUACCAAAAAUUCUCGGCCAUGCCUUCCGUGACGCAUCUCUCCCUGUUCCUCAACUCCUUAACAAUGCAGUUCCCGCAGUUCAUCCUCAACUGCACGAACCUCACUUACCUCGAUCUCUCGCAAAACGCAUUCUCGGGCCCUAUACCGGAUUCGAUUUCCACGGAUUUACCCCAUCUUGAGUACCUCAACCUCACCUACAAUAGCUUCGCCGGAAACAUUCCGGCGUCCCUCACCAAGCUUUCGCGGCUCCGGGACCUGCGUCUCGGAGCCAACAAUCUCACCGGCGGGAUACCCCCGGUGCUCGGGUCCAUCUCCACCCUCCGAAUUCUCGAGCUCUUUAGCAAUUCUUUACCCGGGCCGAUCCCCGCGUCCCUCGGCCGCCUCGGAUUGCUCCAACGCCUGGACCUUCACUCUGCCGGAUUGAACUCCACCGUUCCGCAAGACCUGAGCCUCUGUACUGACCUCAACUUCAUAGACUUAUCCAACAACCUUCUCACGGGCGAGCUGCCCAAGUCCUUUUCGAACCUCACGAAAAUGAGGGAGUUCGGCAUUUCGACCAAUUUGCUCUCCGGCGGGAUCCUGCCGGACCUGUUCACAAACUGGCCCGAGCUCAUCUCCUUUCAGAUACAAAACAACACGUUCGCCGGGCCGAUCCCGCCGGAGAUCGGAUCCGCUAAAAGGCUCUUAGUUCUUUUCCUUUACAUCAAUAACCUUUCUGGCGUGAUCCCGCCAGAGAUUGGAAAUUUAGUUAGCUUGACGAAUCUGGAUCUUUCGAUGAACCAGCUCACCGGUCCCAUCCCUCGGUCGAUCAGAAAUCUCAAGCAACUCACCCGUUUAGCACUCUUCUACAACAACCUUACAGGUUCAAUACCGGAAGAGAUUGGGAACUUGACGGCGCUAACCGUGUUAGAUAUAAACACCAACCAACUAGAAGGCGAAUUGCCGACAUCUAUUUCGAAGCUCCCAAAUCUCGCGACCCUCUCGGUAUUCAACAACAAUCUCACCGGCAGAAUCCCUGCAGACCUCGGAGUGAACAAUCUGCAGUUAACAGAUGUCAGCUUCUCCCAUAACAGCUUCACAGGGGAGCUGCCACAGAGCCUGUGCAGGGGCUUUGCGCUAGCGUACUUCACUGCGAACAACAACAACUUCUCGGGCCAGCUUCCACCUUGCCUGCAUAACUGCUCGAAUCUGGUUCGCGUCCGGCUGGAGCACAACCACUUCACUGGCGACAUAUCGGAGGCUUUUGGAGUCCACCCGGAUCUUCUGUACCUGGAUCUCACUGGGAACGGAUUGACCGGCACGAUUUCGUCCGACUGGGCGGAGUGUAAGAAUCUGACUUACUUGCACUUGGAUGGUAAUAGCAUAUCAGGUGAAAUUCCUGCAUCAAUUGGCAACAUGACCAAUAUGCAGGAUCUCAGCCUAAGUUCCAACCUCUUGACAGGGUCCAUUCCGCCCGAAUUGGGACAGCUUAAGUUCUUGUACAAACUCAAUCUGAGUGAUAAUAUGUUAACAGGUCUAGUCCCUUCCCAUUUGGGCAACAUCAAUCGAUUACAAUCCCUCGAUCUAUCAGCGAACAAGCUCACAGGCCCCAUUCUGCCCGAACUUGGCAAUUUGAAUCAGCUUUUGCUGCUCGAUAUGAGCAAAAAUGGGUUAUCAGGAGGUAUACCAUAUCAGAUUGGGAACUUGGUUCUACUGCAAAUUUUGUUGGAUUUGAGCAGCAAUUCGCUCUCCGGGCUGAUCCCGUCAAAUCUCGAUAAGCUCUCUGCGCUUCAGAAGCUUAAUGUCUCGCACAAUGACCUCUCAGGUCAAAUCCCGGCAACAUUUUCCAACAUGUUAAGCCUCGACUCUGUUGAUUUCUCAGACAACCAGCUUAGCGGCGCGAUUCCGCCCGGAAGAGCUUUUCAGAAUGCAACUUCCGCUGCCUAUGUUGGGAACCUCGGCUUGUGCGGACAUGUUCAAGGCUUAGCUUCAUGCCCGUCUGCUUCCUCCAGCAGCAAUUCUGAUAAGCACCACAAGAGAACACGGGUCAUUGCUGUUAUUGUCCCAAUUGUAGCAAUUUUGGUCUUAGCAAUCACAGUUAUCAUAGUCAUAUUAUUUUGCAGAAAGGGUCCUAGAGAAUAUUUGGAGACAGAGAGUGUGACCAAGGACAUAUGGGAAUCAUUGAUAUGGGAAAGGGAGGGUAAAUUUUCAUUUUUGGACAUUAUGAAUGCCACAGACAACUUCAAUGAGGUCUACCGCAUAGGCGAAGGAGGUUUCGGUAGUGUCUACAAAGCCGAGCUCGCGGCGGGCCCGGUGGUCGCUGUGAAAUGCCUCCAGGUGGCCGAGCCUGGCGAUGUAUCCGAGAUCAACAAGAAGAGCUUCGAGAAUGAGAUCCGCGCCCUCACCGAAGUGCGGCAUCGGAACAUUGUGAAGCUUCAUGGGUUCUGCGUGAGGAGUGGGUACGUGUACUUGGUGUAUGAGUAUAUUGAAAAGGGUAGUUUGGGAAACGUGCUUUAUAGUGAGGAAGAGGGCAAGAAGCUAAAUUGGGCCAUGAGGGUGAAGGUGAUUCAGGGUGUGGCCCAUGCUUUGGCCUAUUUGCACCAUGAUUGUACACGGCCGAUAGUUCACCGCGACAUCUCGGUGAAUAACAUCUUGCUGGAGUCCGAAUACGAGCCGCGGAUAGCGGAUUUCGGUACUGCAAAGUUGCUAAGGCUGGGUUCCAUUAGUUGGACAUCAGUUGCAGGCUCUUACGGCUAUAUGGCACCAGGUAAGUUUUUUUCAUCUGCUCAUUUCAAUUUCUUGAGCUUCUAAUUUUUUUUUUUUUUUUCUUUCUUUUUGGUGCAUCAGUUCUGCUUAUGUAAGCAUCCACUAGGCAUCUCGUGCAAUUCAUUCAUUCAUUCAUGCAAGCCACCUUGGACGUCGAUCACUAGUAUUGAUAAUUUAUACUCGUUUUCGUCGCUUUAGGGGAAUUGCAUGUUGUUACUCUUUUGCAGAGUUGGCGUACACUAUGAAGGUCACGGAGAAAUGCGAUGUGUACAGCUUCGGAAUUGUAGCACUAGAAGUGAUGAUGGGGAAGCAUCCGGGGGACCUCGUUUCAGCUCGACCGUCGACCAUCUCUUCUUCAUCCGAUGCCGACGAUCUUUUACUACAAGAUGUGUUGGAUCAGCGGUUGCCCCCUCCGACCGGACAACUAGCCGAGGAGGUGGCGUUCAUUGUUAAGGUCGCGCUCGCCUGCACCCGCACCUCCCCAGACUCCCGCCCUUCUAUGCGGUCGGUCGCCCAGGAGAUCUCUGCACGCACCCUGCAGGCGUAACUCGCCGAUCCGUUUCGUGCCACCACUGUAAGCAAAUUGAUCACCGACUACCGAAAUGAUUUUAAUACAAUUGGAGCACUUUUUUCUUUUCUUUUUUUUUUUUUUUUUUGCUUUUGGAGAUAAUUCCAUCGUGAAUGAGAUUAUACAUGUAAAGCCUUCUUCAACUAGCAGCUAGCAUCAAAAUAAAUGUUAAUUCAGCAUUACGUAACCCUAGUUAAGUUAAAUUGUCAUGUGGAAUUUGAUACAAUUAGUUGAGGCAUGUAUUUUGUUUACACUAUUGCAGGCAAGUGAUUAAAUUGCGGGAUUGCUCUAUUAAUUUUCAUUGGCUAAAUUGUACUGCUAGUCCACUCUAUCCAAAGCUUCAUUUUGAGACUCAAACUUUUUAUAUUCCUAUAGUAAGUGGCAAAGAACUUGGUGGUUAGUAUCCGAGAUCCCAAGUUUGAAUCUUAGUUGAUUUACAUUUCCAGCUAAAUUUAUUUCUAAGAAAAUAAACGAAUCGGAUAGCAUGCUACCUUUCUCUCUCGAAAAAAAACUUUUUAUAUUAUUUUGUUUCUAUUCAUGAACCUUUAAUAAUAUUUUAUUUUAUUUUAUUUUAGUACUCUAUGCCAAGUACUGGCAUAGAUAUUUGGUCACACUAGAUUCUCUUUUAAUAUUAACUAGUGAAAAAAAGAAUACUAUCCUGCCAAUUAUGACUUUAUAUAUAAAAAUAUAUAUAAAAAAUGAGUAAAACUUUUAUUAAAUAAAAGCAUAUAAUUGUAAUUCAGUAAUAUUUUUUGGCAUUUUUGCACAAAAAAUUUGUUGUUUUGGUAUUUUUAUAAAAUCGAACUAUCAUUUUUAAUUUUGCAUGUUCGAGUCGGAUUUUGAUAAAUUGACAAAAAUACUCCUAUUCUAUCUCUCCUUUUUCUCUCUCCUUCCUUUUUUUUUCUCUUCUUGCUUACUCUCCUCCUCAUCCACCUCCACCGCCCCUCGCCACUGCACACCUCUCCCCUAACUCACCCAUAUCCCCACUGCCGCCGUCGUGUUUCUACCCGGCUACCUUGUCUUUGUAGGCAGUGACGAGUCCGUUCUAGGUGAAGAGUUUAGCAGUGAGGCCGAGGCGCGGGCGUGGCCGUGGAUAGUAGCAGCGACAAAGGUACCGUAGGAUUUAAGGAUGGCAGGGAGGGAGAUCACGUCAAGGGUAGGGGGCGGUGGCUAUGGAGCAUACAAUAGAAGAGAGAGAGGGUGAGGAAGGGGGCAUCGUAGUGGGAGAGUAUGUAGAGGCUGGGAAAAAAAAAAAAAAAAAAAAAAGAGGAAAGAAGAAAGAGAAAAAAAAAAAAGAAAGAAAUCUGUGUGUGUAUUUCUUCUCCUGAGAAAACCACCACAUGCCAUGGCCGCUCAGGGAAAUGCCAAGAAGAAUAGUAGCAGGAAUAAGAAGAAAAAAUUGCAUUAUUUUGAUACGUGGAACUUCCCAAAUAAUUGUGGAACUUCUCAAAUAAUUCAAUUUAGUCUCAAUGACAUCGUACUUGUGUCGAUCGCGCUGCUGUCGGAUGUUAAAUGAAAGUUGAACUAUCCGCCAAGAGAGUUGCGCAAAAACCUGAGCUACAAUGAGUUUCAUGUUCGCAUCCUUCCUCGAUAAGAGAAGGUGUGAUGGAACCGCUCUAUUCUAUAUGUCAAAUUUCUAUGGGGCAAUCACAAGGAGCAGAAGGCUAAGUGGGAGCUCGAGAGCUCAAUGGUAGGAGUGUUCCGUCAUCCCUUCAAGGAAUUGAUAUAAACUAUGAUUUUAAGUUCCGUAAACAAAACUCUUUUAAUGGAGGAGAAAUAUAAUAUACUAAAAUUUAGUACAUAUAUUGAACUUUAGCCAAAUUGUUGAACGCUAGUGAAAAUAGUUAUAAAAAACUAUUUGGAAGAUACUAGAAAGACUACCUGUCAUGCCCCGAGUUGUAGCGGAACCUGUGCUCGCCAACAGAUCUGCCGCAUAUACGGGAAGCCUCGUACACACAAAGCGUCAAAAGUGUCACGCCCCGCCAGCGGUCCUAUUUGGUUCGUUCGGGCACGUUAAACAGACGUCGAACGGACAGCACCUUCCCUGUCCGCCCAAGGCUCAACAAUAAGUACAAAUUAAGUAGAGAAAUUUGCACAAGCGGAAACAUACAAAUUUGGCUUGCACGAGGGUAAGCAAUAGCCAAAGUGAAAGUAAGUAAACAACAUACAUGUAAUAUGAUUAACUUUUAACCACAUACAUGCAUUCAACAUUUGCAUUCUUUUACAUCUUUUGCAUCAUUUCUUCUUAUAUCACAUAUUCCCAAAAUAGAAUUCUUUACAUUCUUUCAUUUAAACAUCUAUACCUAUACAUUAUUUCCCAUGAAGUCUUGCCACGUGGCGGUCCCUCCUUUAUCCUUACCUUCUCCUUCUUCUCUAAUCACAACCUACACUCUUCAUCUCAUCACCAAGGAGUUACUAAUGCAUCAUUAACUGUAAUAAUUACGAUCUUAAACCCACACUCUUCAUCUCUCCACCAAGGAGUUACUAAUGCAUCAUUAACUUUAAUAAUUACGAUGACCCACACAAUUAGCACCACUAAAACCCCAUCAUCAUCAUCUCCUCAUUCUCCAAAACCAAAUACCACACUCCAACAAUGUCCUAUGUUACAAACCAACUCUUCUUUCUAUUAUUCUUAUUAUUAUUUUCGAACGCGAGUACGAACCCGUCAACGCCAUUCAGGUCGAGCCAUGAUUGUUCGGGGGCGUUCUUUGGGUUCAGCGAAUGCUUGGAGUUUGUGGAGGGCGGGGCGAACGGGGCUGAAUCGGGGUUGCUGCUCCGGGUUCGGUCACGUGCUGAGCCGGAGCGUCAUGUGCCUCUGCGAGGCCAUACGAGAAGGGGCGAGGCUAGACGUACCCGUGAAAAUCACCAAAGCUCUCGCUUUGCCCUCGCUUUGUGGGCUCUCCUACACGCUAAUAGUCCCCUGUUACAAAAGUAAGAGGUGUAUUUUUUUAUAGUCCAAUUUCAUAUAUACAAAUUGCUUUCAUAAGAAAAAAUAAGUAAAAUAAGAUUUCUUCGUACUCUUUUUAUUCAAUUUUUUGGCGCAUAAGGAUGGUUCAUAUUUUGUAAUUUUUUUAAUUUUUUUAUCUUUUUGUUUUUAAAUUGUAUGUGUACUGAAAUUAGGGUUUCGUGGAUUGUAGCGCAGCAUCGCGGGGGAAAGCGAAGAUAGAUUUGGAGUCAAUGAGAGAAAAGAAGUGGUACGUUCGGAGAGAUCUAUAGGGAAUCAACGUGGCUGUGACGAAAAAGGAGCUUGACGUUGAUAAUGGCGGCAAAGGUAAUAUGGAGAUGGGGAUUCGUCUCCCCGAUGUCGGUAGUGCGAUCAAGAUGCAUAUGGAGUAAUAAUUCUAUUGCUGCUUCUUUCAUUACUAUUUUUUAUAAUUUAUUUACUGAAAUUAUAAAUUUUGUUACAUUUGUACGUAUAUUUGUUUCAUCUCUUUUAUUUGUAUAUAUGUUAAUAUAUAUUAUCUUUAUUUAUUAAUGUCUUAUGGCAAUUCAAAAAAUUUAAAAUUUUUACUUUGUGAAUCUUCCGUCUUCGAUAGCAUCAGCCCGCUGCAAUGCGCGGGUAACUUCACUAGUUUGCAUCAUUCAUACAACUAUAAUUAUCAAAGUACAAAAGAUGAUAUAUAAAGGGGUAUGCAACUACACAAAAUAUAACCAACACGGGUGCUCAUUGUCUAUGGCGCGAUACUCUUACCGCGUUCGUCGGCCGGGUCACUCAAUCCCGGCUCUAUAGAAAAAGGGGGGUGAGAACUACAACAAAGUUCCCAGUGGGUUCGGCCGCCGACCUCGCCGACUCACAUCUCAAAUCUCAUAGGUGAGGAGACUCUGCGCUACACACACCCGAGACCGUCUGCUCGGUAAUUAUGUUACCCAAACACGAUUACUACUCUGGAGCUCACUACUUGGGUGGGGCGACCACGCUAAGGUCAAACAGACUAUGUGAGUAUGAUCCAAUCAUCUCACUCGAGGAUACCCUGUCUACUAGGGAUAACAACAACACGGGAGAUCCACUAAUCCCAAUACUCAUGUCACAAGUGUGUUUACUAUACUAGUUUCACAUGGCACAUAUCAUAACAACUCAGGAAUUCUUCUAUCCUUACGUUCAUAUCAUAGUGUUUUCAUUACACUAGUCCAAAUGCCCCUCGAUCUACUUGACAAUAUACUAGUCCACAUCGAGUAAUAAAGUUUUCAUGUUCUUGUUUUCAAAUGUCGAACUCUCUACUCAACCUAGAGUUCUCGACCCAAGUUCACAUCUAUAUGAAUCUACCAUAUGCUACAACAUGUCAUCAUGCAUAUUCAUCUAACAUAAUCCACAAUAUGUCAACAUGCAUAUUCCAUCUCAUGCAUUCAUAUAGCCUCUAUGUCAUGUAUUCAUCUAGCAUCUCAUGGUAGGUAAUAACAUCAAGCAUAAUAUGAUUCCUACAUUCACAUUAUUAUGUACAACCUACCAAAUAUAUAUACAUGCAUAAAUAGUAACCAUGCAUCAUCAUUAUCAUCUAUGGUAGUUCAAUCAUAGCAUUUAUCUCAUGCAAUCACAUGUUUUACAACCAACUACCAUUAUAUGCAUCAAUGAUAAACAACACUCCACUUCGAUAUGGAAGUGAGCUAAUAUCUUUGGUGAUAUGGAAGUGAGCUAAUAUCUUUGGUGAGCACAGCCCAACUCGCAACGCUCUCCAAUUGCUUGUAGUCGCUUGCAAUCGGCCUCCCGCGGCACACGUGGUCCGGUUCGACCCGAACUUGCAAUCGGCAACCGAACAUCAAUCCGCGACCUAGGGUCUUCAAAAGCUCCUCUCUAACCUUCAAUUAGAGAGUUAAAGGGUUAAAUGAGAUCAAAACCCUCCAAAUCCCAAAACCCUUAUCUCUAACCCUAGUAUGAAAAUAACCUCCAAAUAAUCCGAAAUUAAAUGGAGCAACAUGAUAGAAAUACUUUAGAGACCAUUAGAACACUAAGCAUCAAGGAUUAAACCAGAUUCCAAACACUUACCGAAAUGCGAAUGCCGAGACAGAAGCACGCGGCUCAACCGGGCGCACGAAAACCCGAUCCAGCGCUCCGCACGCGUUCCCAAGCCCGCUAUCUACCAAGCCUCUGAAUUUGGAAGAAAGAGAUAAAAAGAGUAGGGAGAUAUCUAGAGAGAGAAAGGGAGGGUUUCUCUCUUCCUCUCCAUACGUGUGUGUGUGUGUGGACUGUGUUGGCUAUGGGAGGAAGAAAAAAGGGUCAAAACCCCUUUUUAUAGUCAAUCUCCAACAUUAACACAAUUUCAGCUUAGCAGCUCAGAAUUUGUUCCUUUUCGCCGGAGCCCUUAUGAAUGUCCGUUUGCGCUCAAAUUUGACAGUCAGACUCGGUUUAAGCUAAUAAAAAGAAAGAUAUCUUAACUUCUCAGUUUUGACCAUUUUUUGUCACCGAAAGCUCUACCGACUAAAAUUUCUAACAAAUAGCAGUCAGAUUUUUUUUUCCACUUUCCGGGUGUCAGAAUGAUAUGAAACUUUAAAUCUAACCUCAUAAAAAUAAUCCCGACAUAUUUCCAGAUUUUCAUAAUUUUCCGACACUGUAAAUUUUCUGCUAAAAUAUCAGCCCCGUUCUUUACAAAAAAUUCUAAAUUUUCUGUUUCCAUUCCAAUUUCAGCACAAGUCAUUAUGACUUACAUUUUACUUCUUUAAGUCUAAUAAAAAUAGUAUCUUACACUAUUUUUAUUUACAUUUACUUUUAUAUUAAGAAUCCGGUACAUUACAUUAAUCCUCAAAAAUCCCAACAAAAAUAAAAGAAAAUAAAAGACGGGAAGAGGAGAGGCUUCUUACCCUUCUCUCCUCAGGUUCCAAGCUCAUGGAACCCUCAAAGGGGCGUGGGGUAUAUAUAGAGUAGCUACAAUUGCAAAAACACCCCUAAAAAAAUAAGCAGUCUGCGGAUUGCACUGCGUACCGGUGACACGGGAAAGAGUACCGGUACCAAGCAGCAGCCUGCGCAAACCCAAGCCUCGGGUUGACAAGAAAACGCAUUAGGUACCGGUACCAGCCCGAUCCAGUACCGGUACCAGGUCCAGUACCGGUACGGGGCCGAUGCAGUACCGGUAUUCUGCCCUGCAGAGUCAACCCGAGAGCAGCCCAAAUUCCUCAUUUUGGAGAUUUUGGCGCUAAGUUUUCACCCUCGCUCCUCGGGAUGCGAGUCAUAGGUCAGAACACUGUCAACGACCCUCAAGAAUAUCUGAAAAAACUCAGAACACAGAUCAAACACUCGAACCUUACAAUUUGCUAAAGUUCAGUGUGUUACACAUGGUGUAUUUACUAAUUGUUAGUAAAUAAUAUGAGGACUUAUGUGUAAAUAUUACACACGAAUCGAAUUAGGAUUAGGAUUCAGUUAAUAUUAUAACCAACUCGUGGGUUAAUGGAUAAUCUAAUCGGACUACGAUUUUGAUUAGGAUUAGGAUUAGGCUUAGGGUUUUCUCAUUAUAAAUAUAUGUCAUAUGACAUAUUAAAAGAAAUAAUACAAGAAAAAUACAAAACCCUAGCCGUCAAUCCUCUCCUCCACAAUUAAUCUAUCUGUUUCAAUCUUCAAAAAAAAGUUGCUAGCACAUUUAGAAGAUUGAUUCAUCUUCCUCAAAUCGACACAAAAGUUAAUCCGUGAUCGAAUCACAGAUCGAAGCGGUCGUCUAAUUCGAUCAAGGGCGUGAUUUCGUGUGAACGCGAGUAGAGGCCGGGCGCAUGCACAGCUAAGCGAGGACGAACAAUUUUUACCAACGAUUGUCGACUUCCGAUGAUCUCAACCCGUGCAAGGUGAAAAAACUAGAUUUUAUUUGAUUAGAUCAAUUAGAUUAAUUAUUAAUAAUCUAAAGCGAAACACGAGAUGAUCUUUGAUUUUAAAAUUUUUAAUUGUAUUAUUUUCUUCCGCUGUGUAUACAUAAUUUUCUUACAUUUAGAUGGACCCCGAAUUAAUUAUAAAUAAAUUGGAGUGAGUUUAGAGUUGAAUGUAUAUAUACAUACAUACAUGUAUGUAUGUAUAUAUAUAUAUGUAUGUAUAUAUACAUACAUAUAUAUAUAUAUAUACAUACAUACAUGUGUGUGUGUGUAUAUACAUACAAGUAUAUAUAUAUAUAUAUAUAUAUAUAUAUAUAUAUAUAUAUAUAUAUAUAUAUAUAUAUAUAUAUAUAUUAUAUUAAUAACAUGUAUGUAUGUAUGUAUGUAUAUAUACAUUCAUACAUGUAUGUAUGUAUGUAUGAUAUGUCAUGUGUAUACACAAACAUACAUGUAUGUAUGUAUGUGUACAUGGUAUGUAUGUGUAUACACAUAACAUACAUACAGAGUAGAUUAAGAAGACUUUUACAGUAUCACUCCCUAUGGAUGGCUUGUGUGUUUUUAACGCCUUGGAUGUGAUAGAUGUGAGUGAGAUGAUAGUGCGAGGUGGUGUGGUGGUGGUGAAUAGUGUUGAUCCCAAGGACUAUUAGUAAUACAAGAGGUAAGAUCCAAUACUAAAAGAACGUAAUAGCACGAUGGGGGGUGAUACUUUGUAAAAGUAUCCUAGCUCAACUCCAUACAUUACAUACAUACAUAUAUAUAUUAUAUAUAUAGAAUUAUAUAAACUCGAGAGAGAGAGAGAGAGAGAGAGAGAGAGAAGAGAGAGAGGUUGGAUUGGGCUACUAUUAGUAGCAAAAUCGCCAUGUUGCUUACAGUUUUUUAGCCUUUGAUCAAUUCUUUUAUUAUUUUAACGUAUUGGACUUAAUACUAUAACCACGUGGGACCACUCAACCCGUAGGGGAACCACUCACUUAACUGACUAAUUUCAUCCUGACCCAUUUUUCAUACAAGGGUUAAAAACUAAUAGCAAGAAAAAGCGUUUAACUAUAAUAGUGAUUCGCAGCCUAAUUCUACACACAUAGCACACACAUACACACGACACACACACACACACACACAUAUAUAUAUAUAUUAUAUAUACAUAAUAUAUAUGUAUAUAUUUAUUAUAUCAUACGAUAUAUUAUAUAUAUGUAUAAUAUAUACAUACAUAUAAUAUAUAUGGUAUACUAUAUAUCAUACAUAUUAUAUAUAUAAUGUAAUAUAAUACAUACAUAUAUAGAUAUGUAUAUAUAUCAUACAUAUAAUAUUAUAUAUAUCAUAAUAUAUACAAUACAUAAUAUAUAUAAUGUAUAUUAUAGUACAUAUAUAUAUACAUACAUAUAUAUAUAUAUUUUGUAUAUAUAUACAUAUAUAUAUAACAUACAUAAUAUAUAAUAUGUAUAUAUAUACAUAUAUAUAUACAUUGUAUACAGACAUAUAUAUAUAUGUACCUAUUAUAUAUUACAUAUAUAUAACAGUAUAUAAUAUUACUGAUAUAUAUGUAUAUAUAUAUGUAUUAUAGUAUACAUAUAUAAUACUAUAUAUAUAUGUAUAUAUAUAUAAUGUAUAUAUAUAUACAUAUAAUCUACAUAUAUAUGUAUACUAUUAUUAUAUGUUAUGAAUAUAUGUAUACAUAUGUAUAUAUAUAUAUAUUUAUAUGUAUAUAUAUAUACAUAUAUAAUAUAUAUAUAUAUACAUAAUAAUAGUUAUAUAUAAAUAUAUAGCUAGUAUUAUAUGUAUAUGUAUAUAUAUAUGUAUAUAUAUAUAUAGUAAUAUAUAAUAUAUAUAUGUAUUGUAGUAUAUGGUAUAAUGUAUAUAUAUUAUGUAUAUAUAAUAUAUAUAAUAAUAUAUUAUAUGUAUGUAUAUAGUAUAUGUAUAGUAUAUAUAGUUAUAUGUUAUAUAUGUAUAUAUAUAUAUAUAGUUUAUAGAAUAAUAGUAUGUAUAUAUAUUAUGUAUAUAUAUAUAUAUAUGUAAUAUGUUAUAUAUAUAGUACAUAUAUACAUAUUAUACAUAUACUAUAUAUAUAUACAUAAUAGUAUAUACAUAUAUAUAUAUCAUACAAUAUAUAUUUAUAUAUGUGAGUACAUUUAAUAUAUAUACAUAUAUAUAUAUAUAUCAUACAUAUAUAUAUAUAUAUAAUUAUAUAAUACAUAUAUAUAUAUCAUAUACAUAUAUAUAUAUAUAUAUAUAACAUAUUAUAUAUACAUAUACAAUUAUAUCAUGAUAUAUAUAGAACUAGGUCGGAAUACUAUUAAUAGUACCAAGCUAUUGGUGCUAUUAGUUUUUUAGCCCUUGGAUUGAGAAAUAUCCGGUUAGGAUGAUGUGGGUCCCAUAGGGUUGAGUGGGUGGUUGGUUGAAUAAUGUAAUCUAACGGCUAAAAAUACUCAAAGGGUUAAAUCUAACGGUGGAAAACUCGAUAGUAUCAAGCCCUUGGUGCUAUCAUAGUAUCCCAGCCGGACUCUAUAUAUAUAGAGAGAAAGAGUCCAGCUGGGAUACUAUUGAUAGCACCAAGCAUUUGGUGCUAUCAUGUUUUCCGCCGUUAAAUUUAACCCUUUGACUAUUUUCACCCGUUAGAUUAUACUAUUAAACCAAUAACUCACUCAACCCUAGGGGGCCCACAUCAUCCUAACCGUACGUUUUUUAAUCAAAGGGCCGAAAACCUGAUAGCAACACACGCUUGGUGCUAUUGUUAGUGUUACAACAUAUUUAGUAUCUCAAUAUUUAGAGUAGGAUUAUAUGAUGUGAGAUACUAAAUAUAUCGUAACAGUUAGUAUUCCAGCCUAGGUCUAUAUAAUAUUUAGAGUAGGAUUAUAUGAUAUGAGAUACUAAAUAUCUCAAUAUUCAGAGUAUGAUUAUAUGAUAUGAGAUAUGAUAUGAGAUACCAAAUGCCUGCUGCUCGACUGUCCUCCGUCGUUUGGAACCGGGCGCUUCCUAUCCUGACUCUGCCACGACACCUGUACCUGUGCCCACUUGCGGAUCGAUACAUCACCUCUCUCCACCCAUAGAGCCUGCUCAAUAGAUGCAUCUAAGGUCCUCAACCUCUGCGCCUGUACCAACCUGAAGAUCUCUUGUCUCAAGCCUUCGCUCAAACAGAUAUACCCUAUGGGCCUCGUCUCUGGCUACAAAUGGCACACAGUUCAGGAGUCGAGUAAACUCACGGAUGUACUCCUGAACUGCUCGCUCUCCCUGCUGAAGCUUCUUCAGGUCCUCCUCGAGCUUCUGCUUCACGCUGUUUGAAAAUACAUCCCAUACAGCAUUCCGCAGAACUCAUCCUACUUCAUCUACAAUGCCACCAACCCUCGGUCUCGCCUCAUCCUCCUCCACCAAGCAUGUAAAUCGCCAGCCAAGCAGUGUACUCCCAAAUGUACCUGCUCUCUCUGGUAUAAACAAAUCCUCAAAUAAUUUCUCCAUCGCGCUGACCCGGCCCUCUACAACCCAGGGCUCUAUGGAGCUGCCGUCAUAGGUCGGCGGAUCAAAACGGUGAAAACGGGCAAGUCUCUCAGUCAUCCGCUCCUGCUCAGCCUCAGACAUCUGCGACGCAUCUCGAGAAGGUGUAACUCGUGCAGUGGGACUGUCACUCGUGGGGGUACAGCUGUGGCUAGUGCGGCCACUAGAGUAGUUGGGGGUGGAGCUGACUGCUCUGGUACUCUCGGUGCUGAACUCUGCGGUGGAGCUAAUGUCUCGCACAUCCUAUUCAAUAACGCCCCCUGUUGCCUCGUCGCCUCGGUCAGGGCAGCUAACUGCUCACUCAGAUCCGGGGAUGCGCUCGGCCCUGCCUGCUCCGGCAUCUUAGGUGGUGCGGUGCGAUCCUGCGUCGACGGUCGACCUCGGCGUCGAUACAUAGCUGCAAGAAAAGGACAUAAGGGUCAGAUACAAAAUACAAACACUCUCGACCCAAUCAAACGAAAGUCUAGAAGGCGAAAGUCUAGAAGGCGGCCCCUGUUUCUUCUCAAAAUUAUAUCGUCUGCAGCCGACAUAAUUUUUUUGGCCGAAAUAGACACUCCUUCAGUCACUCACUCCACUCUAGGAGGAGUUAAAACUAAUCAAUUACUGACUUUCGCGAUCAAUCAUGCCUCUCGCGUCUUGCCUUCAUAAGGUUUGCCAAAUUUAGGGUUCCUAGAUCCCAACGACCUAAUACUAAGCUCUGAUACCAACUUAAUCUGUCACGCCUCGGAUUACUUAUUUCUCCGGGCACGCCGACAAAUCCGCCGUAUACAAAAAUUUUUUCUCUAUAUACGAAGCGAUAGCUGUACCUAUACCUGUAAUCAUACAAAACUACAACUAGUAGUAUAGAGCUGCUAAACUGAAAAAUAUAGAUAAAUAACAUCAGGUUCUCUAUACAUACACAGUCUCCAGAUAAAACUCACUCCAGCGAGGAUCUAACAGCAGUAUGUACAAGAACCAAAAUCCAACACUACCUGCAACUGGUAUGUCUCUAGAUCGGCAGCAAAACAGGAAAGGAUCUAACUUGCGACUACCUUUCCACGAUCCGAAUCCGGAACAGCAGCAGCAGCCGAAGAAGAAGACUCUGCAAAAAGUUUCAACAACUGGGUGUGAGAACUACUGCAAAAUGAAGUAGUCCUCAGUGGGUACCGCUACCGACCUCGACAGCUCACCCACUAAGUCUACAGAAAGUAUGCUCCAAGAUAGUAAAGGAAGCUGGAACAAAUCUACAGCUAUAUGCCACUAUACUAUCACAAUCCAACACUAACUAUCUGUAGAAAAUGCAAUCUCUGACCCAAUCUCACUAGGAACUGCAAGUACACCCGUCCCGCCUGUCAAAGCUACACUAAUUACCACCACGCUGGGUCGUCAGUGGAGAGCAAGUCCAAGCAGGACGCAAUGACAUCAACGCAAAAGCACUAGGCCCGACUCCGGAGUGGCACUUGUGAGCGCUACCCAACCGAGUAUGCAAGCGUGUCUCUGCCGAGCUCAAUCAGGCUCUCACAGGCUAUAAUCAAUACGGAAGGGUCUAACUGGUCUAAUAACUAUAAUCAACGUGCCCUCGGCACAAUCCAAUGCAAAAAUAGCAAUCUGGGUCCACCGUCAACCACAACGGCACCCGACAGUCCGGAACAGCCUAUACACUACUGUAAAAAUAAACUCGGCAUCUCAGCACGAGCGUAAUUCCAUUCUACAUUAUUCUGGAUAUCCACCGCCCACAAACUGCAGCGAUACAAAUAAACUACGGCUUCUCGAGCUAAAUCUGGUAGUUUCAGAAAAUGACGGUGUAGAAUCGAUAGUUUCUCUCCUAAGUCAAUUCCAAGUCCAACAUGUAUAAUUUAUCUAAAUUACUGCUAUAUGCUCCAAAUUCAGAUUUCAAUUAGCAAAAAAAUCGGUGAAUAUUCAAGCUAAAAUAAUAUGAUAUACCAAGACUAAAAAUAUAUAUGCUGACAUCAAUUAGACUUAGGAGGAAAUUCGUAGAAUCCGGUAAGCAUAUCAUUAACCCACCUAAAAACGUUAAUCCACGACGGCGGAAAGUUGAAUGAAGCGGAACCACGCGCUCGCCCAGCCUCCCAACGAUGCAACUACGACGUCCACGUGCUCGAACGGCUCCCCGGCGCUACGUCGGCGUCGAUCCGAACUCCACCCGAACCCUCCUCCGUGCGUACGGCUCAAGGGCAAGAGAGAGAGAGAGGAACCAGCAAAAGCCCCCCAUCUCUGCCUCCCUACACAUAUAUAAAGGGAGUUGGUAAGGGUGAAAACAACGAGGCAGCCAAAAGACCUAACAGCCCCUCACCUACUCUAGAGUACCGGUACCAGGCCGAUGCCGUACCGGUACCCCGCAGCAGAAUUUGCAAACCCGAGAGCAGUCUGAGCAGAAAACACACAGGGUACCGGUACUCCCCUCUGUGGUACUGGUACGCAUUGCUGAAAAUCUGAAAAUUGUAGAUUUAAAUGCUAAAAAUCCUGCUCUCGUGUCGCAACGAGUCCAUUUUGCGUCUAUUUCGCGCAAAGGCGACUCGAACUUGUUCCAACACUCUCCAGAUGUGUCGAUAAGCCUCAUAUGAUGAAAUCUCACAGCUGCAGAACACCAGGGAUACUACAUUGGUGCUAUUAAUAGUAUUCCACCCUAGUUCUGCACACACACACACAUAUAUAUAUAUAUAUAUAUAUAUAUAUAUAUAUAUAUAUAGAGAGAGAGAGAGAGAGAGAGAGAGAGAGAGAGAGAGAGAGAGAGAGAGAAAGCUAGGCUCCUAUGCUUUCGAAAGUACGAAAGCCUCCGUACUUCUAAGUUGUUUUCAAUAAUGGGACAUCCAAUUCGGCGAUCAGUUCCGUUAGACAUGAUCUACGUUAUUAGAAGUACCUAGAAACCAAAUUUUAUAAUUUUUUGACUUCAUUUGUUUAGUAAACCAGUAGCCUCAAAAUGAACGGCUGAAAAUAAAAAUCUCAUAAAAAAAAGUAAUAAAGGACUCAUAUUUCAAAUCGGAAGUAUUGGUCUUGCUAUUGAUGUUAAGUAGAAUUUUCUAUUAAAUUUUCAUCUAAUUUGGAUACUUCUACACCGUUGAACUUAAAAACGUGCCACAUCGGCCGUUAAAAUAGUUAUUUUUGAGACCUUUGGAUCGCUUGGUAAAUGAUAUCAAAAAAUUAUAAAAUUUGAUUUCUAAAUAGUUCCAAUAAAGUAGAUUAUACUUAACGGAGCCAAUCGUCGAAUCGAAUUUCCUAUCAUCGAAAACAACUUACAAGCACGGAGGUCUCUGUACUUUCGAAAGCAUAGGAGCCUAGCUAUAUAUANCUCCGUACUUGUAAGUUGUUUUCGAUGAUGGGACGUCCGAUUCGGCGAUCGGUUCCGUUAGACAUGAUCUAUGCUAUUGGAACUAUCUAGAAACCAAAUUUUAUAAUUUUUUACUUCAUUUGCCUAGCGAACGAGUAGCCUCAAAAUAAACGGCUGAAAAUAAAAAUCUCAUAAAACAUAAUGAUAAAGGACUCAAAUUUCAAAUCGGAAGUAUUGAUCUUGUUAUUGACGUUAAGUAGAAUUUUCUAUUAAAUUUUUAUAUAAUUUGGAAACUUCUACACCGUUGAACUUAAAAACGUGCAGCACCGGCUAUUAAAAUAGUCAUUUUUGGGACCUAUUGAUCACUUAGUAAAUGAUGUCAAAAAAUUAUAAAAUUUGGUUUCUACAUGUUAUACCUAACGAAGCCGAUCGUCAAAUCGGAUGUCCUAUCAUUGAAAACAACUUCCAAGCACGGAGGUCCCGGUACUUUUAAAAGUAUAGUAGACGCACUCGAGACUUUAUAUAUAUAUAUAUAUAUAUAUAUAUAUAUAUUAUUUAGCGUAUUUGAAGUUUUUAAAAAAUAAUUUUUUAUGGUUUUUUUAUAUCAUUUACCUAGCAAUUAAAAGAAUUUAUCAAAACAAUGAGCCAGAUUGCCGACCCUAAUCAUAGGUAUAUUAUAUUCUUCAAUUAACUGUGAAAUUUCUAUGGGCCAAUUUGAUAUUAAAUGCUAUCUAUUACUAUUACAACAAAAAAUAUCAUAGCCAAGCAUAAAGCACGUAGGGAUAUAUACACUUUGCUAUUUCUCAUAUGGGACGAGAAAUUAUUAAUUUCUUGCACUUAGCCAAUGCAAUCUAACAAUAUGGCCUAUUAAGCAGAGAUUAUAUUUACACGAUGUUCAUGUGGAAAUAACUAUUGCGUCUCUAAAAACUUAAAGACAGAGAGAAUGAUAUUGUUUAUAUUUUUAUAUUUAAUAUUCUUUCUUAUGUUUAGGAUCAUGACCGUUGAUCACGUGGAUUAGAAUUAAAUAAAAAAUUAUUUAUAUUAGAAAUUUGAUGGGACUCGAAUUUGAUACAAAAUUAAAGAAUAUAAGACAACCGUUAUGUCUCUAAAAGUUUAAACCGGCAAAAAAUAGUAUUUCUUAUAUUUUUUAUAUUUAAUAUUCAUGUUUUAUUUUUUUAAUGUUGAACAUAAAAUAUUAAAAAUAUUAUUUUCUAGUAACUUAAGCUAUUGUAGAAAAUUUUUUGUAACGUACAAUUUGGCAUGAUAUUCGAACAGAAAGUUCUAAAUUCGGUUCCAUCAUAUACCUUUAUAUUAUUUAGCUUCCCUCCAUUUAAUUUAAAUUUAUGUCUUGUACCUGUCAAAAUAUAUUAAGUCAAAAUUUAAAAGGGAGUAUUGAAUAUUAUAUAUAUAUUAUGUUUUAAUAACUUAAGCUAUGAAGGAAAAUUAUUAAAUUAAAGGCAAAAUACAAUGUUGAGAUUUUUAGAUACAUAGUAGUACAUCCUUUUUCUAAAAAAUUGUUGAGAUUUCGUACUUAUUUGGAUGGGACCAGCGCUUUAUUAAUUUAAUCCUGAAAUUGAUGGUCGCAAUUGACUACAGGAUGCAUGAGUGUGAAAGGUUCUGUUGUGUUCCCACUUCACACUUGCCAUUUCAAAGUCAUCCCAACGGUCAACCAUGAAACAAUUUGUACCUUGUAGUGGCCCAAAGGCGAUAUAAAAUUCCGUAGUUGACCAAAGACCGAGAAGCAAAAUCACAAAAUAUCAUUAAUUUGUACCCCUCAAAAUUUCAGAAAUAUUGUUAUGGAUACCCAUAAGAUUUAAAAAAAACUUCAUGGCUGGCCCCUUAAAAGCAGUAUAUUUAUAGUAAGUGCCCUAAUCAGCAGUUUAGUGUAUAUCAAUAGACGUUAGCGUUACCAAUUAAGGUUAACAGAUAAUGGUUCAACCCUAGUGGACAAUCCCCUUCUUUUAUCGCUGUACGUAAUUGGUAGCUGUAGUAACAAGGUGGGCGACUUUUUGAUUUUAUCCUAUGUAUAUAUAUAUUAGUUGAUUUUGGGGAUCGAGUUGCCAUCUACUUAAGUUAAUUAGUUUCUAAGCUAGCUUCAAUCAUCUAGCUAGAACUUCAAUCUAGGCGGCUAGCUAGCUAGAAGGGUAUCUAUCUAUCUAUGGAAUUAUCCCAUAUUUAAUUUUAAAAUUAAGUUUGAACACGUACGAGAUCGAGAACAGCUGUUUACCACUUCGAUAUUCUUUAAUUCAUUCGUGGGAACUUCAAAAUCCAGCUAUAUAUAAAGCGCACUUGCUUGGUGACGAAUGAAAAGAACUAUAUGUACUAUAUUAGAUAAUAGGAUCGUUAUUAAACCCCACCAGUAUUGGACGUCGGAAUAAGUUUCGGCGGAUGCAUGUGUCUUAUUCUCUGAUCAAGGAGGGGCUGUAGGCUUGAGCUGGAUCUCCAUAUAUAAGAGAGCAUGAAAUAUUUAGUUUUAGUUGUCGGAAUUGCAGAUUCCCUCUCCGAAUUGUGAUCCCAAUGGCGUGUACAGAUUUGUGGUGGAUUUUCAAUCUGGAUUACUAAUUGUGGGGAACCGAAUUAGUAGAGAAGUACUUUAAUUUUUCUACAUACAUCUAAUUUGUCUUGUCGCGUGAAAAAAAAGAGGAAAUAUAAUAUAAAAAGUCAUACAGGCAUGGUCAAAAAUUGACGCGGUUUUGAUUAGAAGAGACAGUAACCAAUAAAAUCUUAACGAAAUAUAUAUAUAUAUAUAUAUAUAUAUAUAUAUAUAUAUAUAUAUAUAUAUAUAUAUAUAUAUGCUGUAGAAAGAUAAGUUAUUGACUUUUUUUUCUUUUUUUUAAAUGUAUGCCAAUCUGUAGUAACGUUCUAAUUGAAAAACCACGUUAUCGACUAAUGCGCGCUCCCGCUAAUUCUAUUAUCACUAAUCGCGUUCUUAAGAAGCUAGCUAGUGAAACCUUAUUUCCGUACUUGUAGCACGUUUCUCAACGUUUCCCAUUUAGAAAAUAUUAGUUUUGGAAGCUUUUAACUUGGAAGUACUUCAUAAUUUUUUUAAAAAUAAAAUUACUAAAACAACUUUGAACUAAACUUGGAAUUACUAAAAUAACAUCAAUUUGACGUUUAGACUUCAUAAUUAGCAUAGCCUUAUGUUUGAGCAAAUGCGGCAAUAAAAGAAAAUCUUGGCCUUCCCCUAUUUAACCAUUGGCCAACAACCUCCUCCGUAGUCUUUUUUAAAAAAAGAAAAAAAAUGCAUCGCUCAACUAAUUAUGCCAAACAAUAUAAUAAUAAUCACGAAAUCAAGUGAACAAGUUUUACUUAUGUUUACUAAAUUAAUUAAUUAGCACUUUAUUGAGGGGGAAAAAUAAAGAUAUUAUCCUGAAAAAUGAUAAAAAUUCAUGCGAAGGCCAAUUAUUGCUAGUUCUGAAAGUUCUUACAUGCAUAAUUCCAGUCAUAUAUCACAUCAAAUUAAGUAUCUUCAAAUACAAAAAAAAAAAAAAGGAACUGUACAACAAGUAUACUUGAAUAAGCAAUGGAACUUACAAAAUUUCAUGGGCCGAAUGCAUAUAAUAUUAGCCUUUAAUUAAUGCAUGAUUCCUCCAAAAGAUAGAAAACACUCCAAUUUUAUUGAAUCAUUUUUGGUAAUCAGUCAAUUUACUAAUCGUGAUGGUCCGAAACGGCUCCGCAAGGUAGGCCUGCGUGCGUGCGGAGAUCUCCUGGGCGACCGACCGCAUGGAAGGCCGGGAGUCUGGGGCGGUGCGGGUGCAUGCGAGCGCGAUCUUAACGAUGAACACCACCUCCUGAGCUAACUGUCCGGUCGGAGGGAGCAACCGUUGGUCCAGUACGUCUUUCAGUAAAAGAUCGCUGCCUUCGGAUGAAGAAAUGGACGGCAGGGACGAAAUGAGCUCCCCCGGGUGCUUCCCCAUCAUAACUUCUAGUGCUACGACUCCGAAGCUGUAUACAUCGCAUUUUUCCGUGACCUUCAUAGUAUAGGCCAACUCUGCAAAACAACAGCAACAAUGAAAAAAUGUACGACAAGAGAGAUUGAAAUUAUGAAGCCUAUAAUUAAGUGAUUAUAAUUAAUACAAAUUUCACAAUGGUCCGUACGUUUAACUCCAGUUAGUUCGAGAAUUGGAACUCACAGAUAAUAUAUAACGAGUAGUGGAGGAUAUUCAAUCGGCGCAGAAAACGAAUGCACAAAAAAUAAAAAGUGCUCAGGAAAUUGAUAUGUGCAGGUGAAGAAAGUAUUUACCUGGAGCCAUAUAGCCAUAGGAUCCGGCAACCGAUGUCCACGUAGUGGAACCCGGCUCAAGCAUCUUGGCGGUGCCAAAAUCUGAUAUCCGCGGCUCGUAUUCGGACUCCAGUAAGAUGUUGUUCGCUGAGAUGUCGCGGUGAACUAUCGGCGGGCUACAAUCAUGGUGCAGAUAGGCCAAAGCAUGGGCCACACCCUGAAUCACCUUCACCCUCAUGGCCCAGUUUAGCUUCUUACCCCCUUCCUCACUAUAAAGCACUUUUCCCAGACUACCCUUCUCAACGUACUCAUACACCAAGUACAUGCGCCCGCUCCUCAUGCAGAACCCGUGAAGCUUCACAAUGUUCCGAUGCCGCACUUCAGUGAGGGCGCGGAUCUCGUUCUCGAAGCUCUUCUUGCUGAUCUCGGAUAAAUCGCCCGGUUCGGUCACCUGGAGGCGUUUCACGGCGACCACUUGGCCCGCCGGGAGCUCGGCUUUGUAGACGCUACCAAAGCCUCCUUUGCCUAUGCAGUAGACCUCAUUGAAGUUAUCUGUGGCGUUCAUAAUGUCCAAAAAUGUAAACUUACCCUCUCUUUCCCAUAUCAAUGAUUCCGAUAUGUCCUUGGUCACACUCUCUAUCUCUAGAUGUUCUUUAGCUCCUUUUCUGCAUAAUAAUAUGACCGUCACAACUGUGAUUGCUAAGACCAACAUUGCCACAACGGGGACAACAAUCGCAACGACCAAUAUUCUCCGGUGGUGCUUGUGAGAACUACUGCUGGAGGAAGCGGAUUGGCAUGAAGCUAGGCCCUGAACAUUUCCACACAAGCCAAGAUUCCCGACAUAGGCUGCAGAAGUUGCAUUCCGAAAAGCGCUUCCGGCCGGAAUCGCGCCGCUGAGCCGGUUGUAUGAGAAAUCGACGGAGUCAAGGCUGAACAUGUUCGAAAAUGUGGCCGGGAUUUGACCCGACAGGUCGUUGUGCGAGACAUUAAGCUUCUGAAGCGCAGAUAGCAUACCGAGAUUCGACGGGAUCGGCCCGGAGAGCGAAUUGCUGCUCAAAUCCAACAAAAUUUGCAGCAGAACCAAGUUCCCAAUCUGAUAUGGUAUACCUCCUGAUAACCCAUUUUUGCUCAAAUCGAGCAGCAAAAGCUGAUUCGAAUUGCCAAGUUCGGGCGGAAUGGGGCCUGUGAGCUUGUUCGCUGAUAGAUCGAGGGAUUGUAAUCGAUUGAUGUUGCCCAAAUGGGAAGGGAUUAGACCUGUUAGCAUAUUAUCACUCAGAUUGAGUUUGUACAAGAACUUGAGCUGUCCCAAUUCGGGCGGAAUGGACCCUGUCAAGAGGUUGGAACUUAGGCUGAGAUCCUGCAUAUUGGUCAUGCCGCCAAUUGAUGCAGGAAUUUCACCUGAUAUGCUAUUACCAUCCAAGUGCAAGUAAGUCAGAUUCUUACACUCCCCCCAGUCGGACGAAAUCGUGCCGGUCAAUCCAUUUCCAGUGAGAUCCAGGUACAGAAGAUCCGGGUGGACUCCGAAGGCCUCUGAUAUGUCACCAGCAAAGUGGUUGUGCUCCAGCCGAACGCGAAUCAGUUUCGAGCAGUUACGCAGGCACAGCGGCAGCUGGCCUGAGAAGUUGUUGUUGUUCGCGGUUAAGUACUCCAGCGCCAAGCUGCUGCACAAGCUCUGCGGCAGCUCCCCCGUGAAGCUGUUGUUCGAGAAGCUGAUGUUUGUUAACUGCAGAUUGUUCACUCCGAGGUCUGCAGGGAUUCUGCCGGUGAGAUUGUUGUUGAACACCGAGAGGGUCGCGAGAUUUGGGAGCUUCGAAAUCGAUGUCGGCAAUUCGCCUUCUAGUUGGUUGGUGUUUAUAUCUAACAAGGUUAGCGCCGUCAAGUUCCCAAUCUCUUCCGGUAUUGAACCUGUAAGGUUGUUGUAGAAGAGUGCUAAAACUCCGAGUUGCUUGAGAUUUCCGAUAGUACGAGGGAUCGGACCGGUGAGCUGGUUCACCGAAAGAUCCAAAUGCGUCAAGGUAACCAAAUUCCCGAUCUCCAGCGGGAUCACGCGGGAAAGGUUGUUGUUAUAGAGAAAAAGAAAUAGGAGUUUUGUUGCUGAUCCGAUCUCCGGCGGGAUCGGCCCGGCGAACAUGUUGUUUUGUAUCUGAAAGGAGAUGAGCUCGGGCCAGUUUGUGAACAGGUCCGGCGGGAUCCCGCCGGAGAGCAAAUUGGUCGAAAUGCCGAACUCCCUCAUUUUCGUGAGGUUCGAAAAGGACUUGGGCAGCUCGCCCGUGAGAAGGUUGUUGGAUAAGUCUAUGAAGUUGAGGUCAGUACAGAGGCUCAGGUCUUGCGGAACGGUGGAGUUCAAUCCGGCAGAGUGAAGGUCCAGGCGUUGGAGCAAUCCGAGGCGGCCGAGGGACGCGGGGAUCGGCCCGGGUAAAGAAUUGCUAAAGAGCUCGAGAAUUCGGAGGGUGGAGAUGGACCCGAGCACCGGGGGUAUCCCGCCGGUGAGAUUGUUGGCCCCGAGACGCAGGUCCCGGAGCCGCGAAAGCUUGGUGAGGGACGCCGGAAUGUUUCCGGCGAAGCUAUUGUAGGUGAGGUUGAGGUACUCAAGAUGGGGUAAAUCCGUGGCAAUCGAAUCCGGUAUAGGGCCCGAGAAUGCGUUUUGCGAGAGAUCGAGGUAAGUGAGGUUCGUGCAGUUGAGGAUGAACCGCGGGAACUGCAUUGUUAAGGAGUUGAGGAACAGGGAGAGAUGCGUCACGGAAGGCAUGGCCGAGAAUUUUUGGUAGUCCGGAUUUGCCAAGUAAUUCGAGCCGAGGUCAAAGUAGCGCACCUUGGGGAGGUAGCUGAGCUGGAAGGGGAUGGGCCCGGCGAGGUUGUUGUUGUAGAGACGGAGGUCGAGGAGCUCAGAGAGCCGCCCGAUCUCCGGGGGGAUCGGACCGACGAAACCGUUGCUGCCGAGGUCCAAGCGAGUGAGACGGGCGGGCGAGGAGAUGCUGGCGGGGACGGAGCCCUGCAGCAGGUUGUUGCUGAGGUCGAGGGCGGUGAGGUUGGGGAGCGAGGCGAAGUCGAGCGCGUCGAGCGUGCCGUUGAGGUUGGAGUUGGGGAGGCUGAGCUCCACGACGGAUUCGCCCGCGGCGUCGCACCGCACGCCGGCCCAGCGGCACGGGGCGGCAGAUGCGUUGUUGGAAAGGGACCACGACGAAAGCGAUUGCGGUUCGUACAAGCUGGCUUUCCAUUUCAGAAGCGCCUCUGCUUCCGAAAGCGCUUUCCCGGUGGAAAUGGAUAAGAAGAAGAAGAAGAAGAAGAAGACGACGACGAUGCGAAAGAGGCGGAUGGAGAGCUUGGGGAGGGGACGUUUCAUGGCCGAGUUAGUGUGGAGAUGAUGAGUCGGGACUCGGGACUGGGGACUCGGGACUCGGGAGUUGAUUUAUAAAAAUUAAUAAUAACGAACCCCCGGGCCUUUUUCAGUCAUUUGUAUAGUGGGGAUAGUGGGAGUGACAGCGACAGCGAGAGUCAAAUAAGGAGGGUUUAUUAAUAUUCGGGUUAAGUGGUGGUUAUAGGUGUGCGGGUGUGAAAGCUUUUCCGUGUGGAUUUUGGGUUUGAUGGGCUCAGAGGGUGGACUAUUGAAGAACCUUGCUGCUUGGCAUUGCUUAAAUUUGAUGAAGAAGAAACACAGUCGGUAAGAUUCCACAAUUAAUGCAUAAAAUUUAUUACGUACAAACCAUCCACUUUUUAGGCCCCGGCGUGCGAUACGAGAAAGUGUUUUUUAUAACAAGUAUUUAAUAAGGGCAAUUUCACCACUAGCCCCCUUAAAUAUAUAAAUAUCGUAAAUAUCCCUAUAAAAUUAAAAAUAUCAUAUAUACCUCUUCAAAUGUAGAAAAUUAUCACAAAUACCUUUUCUUCAAACGGACAUUAAGAUUAAGUUAUAAAAUAACUAAUUUAUUCUUGGUUGGGUUGUUCUUUUGACAGCAACUAAUAAAGGAAUAAUUUCAUAAAUACCCUUUAAAUUUUAAAAAUAAUAAUUUUUAGUACUAAUUAUUGGUGGAUAAAAUAUGUGGAAACCCUCACCUAUAGGUCAUUUUGAAAUAGACCCCCUUACCUUCAAUUUUUUAACAUUAAGAGCACUUGAACUUUUAGUUUUUUUUUUGUUUUUAUAUUUUACUUAAUUAAAAGAUUUUCAAUUGAGAUCCCUCGUAGAAGAAUUUGAUAAAAUUUUUAACUUAGUUGGAAAAAAAAAUACUCAAUUGCAAAAAUAAAGAAUCACUUAGGUUGAGACGAUGUAUAUAUAUAGAAAGAGAGAGAGAAAAAGAGAGAGUACGGCUACUAUACUCUUAUAAAUACGAUCGCCUUCGUACUCAUAAGUCGUUUUCAAUGAUAGAGCUUCUGAAUAGAUGAUCCAUAUCGUUAAAUAUCAUCUGGAACAUUUAAAACUUUUAAAAAUCAAAUUUUAUAAUUUUUUGAUAUUAUUUACCUUACAAUAAAAAAAUCUCAAAAUUGACAAUUGUUAACGGUGGGAUAGUUGCUAGUUUAACAAUAUAAAAGAAUCAGAAGUUAAAUUUUUGAUAGGAAAUUAUAUUCACUAUCUAGAUAGAAAUCAAUAACUUUGAUCUUAAAUUGAAGAAUCCGAUCAUCUAUUUUUAGAAUGUCGUUUGAUUUUGACAAUUCAUUUUAUGUCCACUUUGAUAGACUUUAUUAUAAUUUCGAAAAAUUACAAAAUUUAUUUUUUAGAAAUUUUAAAUACUCUAAAUCAUUUUUAACGAGCUGGAUCGUCGACUCGGAAGCUCCAUUAUCGAAAACAAUUUAUGAAUACGAAAGGCUCUAUAUUCAUAAGAGUAUAGUAGCCCUAUUUUUAUAUAGUCCGGCUAUAGUGUUUGUAAAAGCAUCAAGCACUUGGUUCUUAUAAAUUUUUUACCCUUAGAUCUACCCUUUGAUCAUUUCCACCCGUUAGAUUAUACUAUUUAACCAACCACCCACUCAAUACUAGGGGUCCCUCAUCAUCUAACUGCACAUCUCUUAAUCCAAUGGACAAAAAUCUACAACCACCAAUAUUUGAUACUUUUAAAAGUAUAGGAGCUCAAUUAAUUAUAUAUAUAUAUAUAUAUAUAUAUAUAUAUAUAUAUAUAUAUAUAUAGACUAUAGAGUCCGGCUAGCUACUAUACUCUUAUGAGUACGAUCGCCCUCGUACUCAUAUGUUUUCGAUGAUAGAGUUUCUGAAUCGACGAUCCAUAUCGUUAAACAUUAUAUAGAGCAUUUAAAACUUCUAGAAAUCAAAUUUUAUAAUUUUUCGAUAUCAUCCACCUUAUGAUCAAAACCUCACAAAAUUAACAAUUUUUAACGGCCGGUAUGGGAUACUUGCUAAUUUAACGGUGUAAAAGAAUUGGAAUAGGUUGAUUUUUUGAUAGAAUUUUUAUACUAUAUAAAACGAUCAAUAACUUUGAUUUAAAAUUUUAAUGUUAUAUUAUUACAUUUGAUAAGAUUUUUAUUUUCAGCGUUGAUUUUGAGCCCUUCGUUCACUAGCAAAUUAUAUCGUAAAAUACAUAAAUAUUAUUUCUAAGUACUUCAAAUACUCUAAAUCAAUUUAACAGGAGCAUAUCGACGAUUCGAAUCGCAACAUCGAAAACAGCGAGCCGGAAGCACGAAGGCUCCGUGCUUCCGAUAGCAUAGUACCUCACUAUAUAUAAUAUAUAUAUAUAUAUAUAUAUAUAAUAUAUAUAUAUAUAUAUAUAUAUAUAUAUAUAUAUAUAUUUAUAUCAAAGCUAGACUAUGCUGAAGUGGGCUAAUGGGUGAGCAGGUCUUCAAUGCAAUGUUACUUUUUGUUGACAUAAAUGUUCAAAUUAAAAAACUAUUGCUGAGUGGGUCAGUAGAAAACACUAAUAUCAAAAAAAAUUUAUAUCAAAAUAUUUUUUGUAUGACUUAUGUGAGUUAUUUAAAUAAAAUUCAAAAAAAAUUAAAUCUUGAAAUUAAUAUUGAAUAUUACAAUGGACAAUUGCAUUACAACUAUAUAUAAUUUACAAGCGAAAAAUCAUAACAAGAUUUAAUUAUUACACUUAAUAGACUAUAGAUCUUUAAUUGUAAAAUUUUAAAAAGAAUGUUGAAUUAUUAUGUGAUUGAAAGGUUAAGAAUUGAUCCUGAUCAUGUAAUUAAUCUUAAAUUAUUACACUUAGUUAAAUUAGUAAUAAGGGUAAAAUGGGUAUUUACAGAAUAUUAGAUGACUUUUUAAUAGAAUAUUAAUCUUAAGGGUACUGGUGAAUAUUUUUGCUUUUUAGAGGGGUAUUGCUGAUAUUUUGUAAUUUAGAGGGGCAUUUAUGAAAUUCUUGUCUCCUAGAAGGGUAUUGAUGAAAUUAUCCCUAUUUAAUAUAACACCUAUUGGGAUAGUCUCAUAAUGAAUUGUUAUCUAAAUUGCUUUCUCUCAAGUUUGAGGGCUGGACUAGUACGAUUUGUGCGUUUUCAAAGAAGGCUCUAAGAUUUGGUUUUUUCAUUCAAAAAGCUAUCAGUAAUUAGAGUUUGAAAUGACAAUAUUCAUUUAAUAGAGCUAGUCUCCUAUACUAUCUAUAAUAGCGGGGCUCCGGUCCUAUAGUUUUAUUUUCGAUUUUAGGGUGUUCAAAUCAACGAUCCACACCGUUAAAAUUGAUCUAGGGUAUUUAAAGUUUUUGGAAAUAAAAUUUUAUAUAUUUUCAAUAUAGUUUACUUUAUAAUCAAACCAUUUAAAAGUUGUCAAUUUUCAAUGGCUACUAUGGCAAGUAGAUGGACUAUAUAUAUAUAUAUAUAUAUAUAUAUAUAUAUAUAUAUAUAUAUAUAUAUAUAUAUAGUUGAGCUAGAAUACUAUCGAUAGCAAACAAAGCCGAUCGUCGAUUUAGAAGCCGCAUCAUUGAAAACAACUUUGUAGCACGGAGGCCUCCGUACUAUUGAUAGGAUACCAGCCUAACUCCAUAUACAUAUAUAUAUAAUUUUAUUUAUAAAUAUAUAUUUAUUUAUUAUAUAUAAUAUUUUAUUUUUAUAUAGAGAUAUUAUUAUAUAAUAAUAUUUUUAUUUAUAAAUUUGUAAUUAUUUAUUAAUAUUCUAAAUAUAUAACUGUAUUAUGUAAUAUGUUUAUUAUAAUUUUAAAUAUAUUUAAUCUAUAUAUAGAAAUUAUUAUAAUAAUAUGUAUAGUAUAUUAAUUGUUAUAUAUUAAUAAAAUAUAAUAAAAAAUUAUAGUAAAUAGCUUUUUAUCCAUUUUUAUAUUUAUUUUAACUAAACAAUCAUUAUGAAAAAUUAUUACUCUUUUUCUACAAAUUAAACACUAAUCGACGUAAAACUAUUUUUUACCGAAAAUAUUUUUUCACCGAAAUUUUUUUUUUUCUACAGUUUUACCUAGAGCGAAAUACACCUAAAGCUCUCAAACAAAUGUAAGAUAGGAUUUUCCUCUACUUCUUUAUUGAUUAUUUAUUGCGCCUGGGGCUAUUUUGGAAAAUACAAUACAUUUAUUGAAAACUUCGAGCUAUCCAAACAGGACAUUUGACUAACUACUAUUCGUGUGGUUCUUCGUAAACGGUCAAAUUGUCCUUUUCUAAAAUAAUAAGUAUGCAUUGAAAAUACUCUUCACAAAUUGGCCCUUGUCGGUUUUUUUUAUUUUUGGUGGGGUCUUAAUUAGUUUGUUUCCACCAACAAGAGAGCUACUGCGAAAGGAAUUUCGCGUACUUAUCCUAGAAAGGUUCCACAAAACGAUGUGAACCCGCAUGAGUUCAAAAAUAUGAUGUAUUUAUUAAAAAAAUUUUGGAUUAAAAGUUUAAGAAUAUCAGUUGACAUUACUAGUCUAAUAUGAAUUCUUUUACAUCCUUUAAAAGAGUAGCGUAGAGUUUUUAUGCUAUUUAAUUAAUUAAUGGUUAAGGAGAUUUCCAUCUAAGAUGAGGCUGGAGGGAGUUGUGAUAGACCUACUGAAAAACAUCUAACCAAUUAAUAUUUAUUAUUUCGUUCCUAUCUAUCUAUAAUAAAACACAUAAUUUGCCACUUUCAUCGCAUCGUGAAAAUGGCUUUACAUUAAACCAUGUCAUCGUCUAAGAGACGAGCCAAUGAGAGCAUGCAAAAUGUUCAAAAACAAUGUUGGAUGCAUCCGAUGCACCGUAAACCAAUUCUAAAAAAUAUAUAAGAAAUAAAUUUUCGUAAUAUAAUAAAUUAUUUAAAUAUUUUAUAUUAUACAUAUUAUAUAUAUCAUAUAUUAUUUUGUGAUAUUAAUCAUUAAAUAUUUCAACAAUCAUCGUAUACUGUAUGACAUAUGGAGCUUUAAUAUACACUAGGUACAACGAAAAUUUUUUCCCCUCUCCCUGUUUUUUUUUUUUUUUUUACUAUAGUGAGUUGUAGGGGUGGAAACGAGCUAAACUCGAGCGAGCUUAUCUUGGCUCAAAUUCGGCUUGAAAUUAAUUUCGAGCCUAAAUUUAAGCUCAAGCUUGGAUUGAAAUUAAUUCGAGCUGAGCUCGAGCGAGCCUAAUUUCGAGUCGAGCGAGCUCGAGCUCUAAACGAGCCGCUUGAAAUUCUCAACAUCAUACGAUCAAUAGUUUAAUUUGUAUAGAAUAUUAUCUAUAAUUUGAUACAAAAAUAUGUCUAAUANNNAAUUUCGAGCCUAAAUUUAAGCUCAAGCUUGGAUUGAAAUUAAUUCGAGCCGAGCUCGAGCGAGCCUAAUUUCGAGUCGAGCGAGCUCGAGCUCUAAACGAGCCGCUUGAAAUUCUCAACAUCAUACGAUCAAUAGUUUAAUUUGUAUAGAAUAUUAUCUAUAAUUUGAUACAAAAAUAUGUCUAAUAGUUCAAACUACAAAAUAAUUAUAUGAAAUAUAGUAUUAUAAUAUGAAGAAAAAUAAUUUAUGAGUUGAAUAUUUAAUCUUUUCAGGCUCACAUGUCUUCUCUUCCGCCUUUAAUCUCCAUAUUAUUCAUUUUAUUUAUGCAGUCAAAAAUAAAUAAAUUAUAUAGAUAAAUAUUAGAUUAAACUAUCCAAUCAUAUAUAACUAAAAUUAAAAUUUUAUAUAAAUAAUAACUUUUUACUUUAAAAAUAUUCUGUAUAUUUUCUCAAGCAUACAAUUAAUAGCAAGGUAGGCAACAGCGGGCAUAUACUGUUAUUUGGUAAUUUGGAGGGCUUCCGGCUUGGCUACUUAGGGUGAGAAAUAGAAAAAAAGAAAGAGAGAAACAUAUUGAAAUUUUAGAGCUCUGUGAAAGAAAGAAAAGAAAAAUGUAUAAAUUUAAUAAAAUUUUGCUCUUUUAUUUAUCUAUUGGGUUUGUUUUUAUAGGCCAACAAUAUUGGCCCAAUUUUAAUUAAACUCAGGUUAUUCACUCUGCCUAUAUAUAAUUAAAAAUAUAUUAUAUUUAUAUAUUUUUUUUAUAUAUAUAGAGUCUGACUAUUAUACUAUCGAUAGUACCAAAUCCUUGAUACUAUUGAGUUUUCUACCGUUAGAUUUACCCUUUGAUCAUUUCCACCCGUUAGAUUAUACUAUUAAACAAACCACCCACUCAAUCUUAGAGGACCACUAUCAUUUUAACCGUACAUCUUUUCAUCCAACGGCUAAAAGCUCAAUAGUACCAAGGACUUGAUACUAUUGAUAGUAUAGUAGCAUAAUUCUAUAUAUAUAUAUAUAGAGUCCGGCUACUAUACUAUCGGUAGCACGGUGCGCUCCGUGCUACCAAGUUGUUUUCGAUGAUGCGGCUUCCAAAUCGACGAUCGGCUCCGUUAGACUUGAUCUACACUAUUGAAAGUAUUUGGAAACUAAAUUUUAGAUUUUUUCCACAUCAUUUGACUAGUUAUCAAAAGAUCUCAAAAUUGACAAUUUUAAUGGCCGAUGUGGUGUGUUUGUGAGUUCAACGAUGUAAAACAAUCCAAAUGCGAUGAAAAUUUUAUAGAAAAUUCUUUUCACUAUUUAGAGUAAGAUCAGUAUAUCUAAUCUUGAAUUUAAAUUUUUUAUCAUCAUUUUUUAUGAGAUUUUUAUUUUCAGUCGUUCAAUUUUAGACUACUUGUUUGAUAAGUAAAUGAUAUCGAAAAAUUAUGAAAUUUAGUUUCUAAAUACUUUCAAUAGUGUAGAUCAAGUCUAACGGAGCCGAUCGUCGAUUUGGAAGCCGCAUCAUCAAAAACAACUUGGUAGCACGGAGGACUCCGUGCUACUGAUGGUAUAGUAGCCUAGUUCUAUAUAUAUAUAUAUAUAUAUAGUGUAGAACUACUAUGCUAUCGAAAAUAUAGAGGAUUUGAUGUUUUCGAAUUUUUGACCCUUUGAUUAAAAAUUGUAUGGUUGGGAUGAUUGCGGUCCCCCCAGGAUUAAAUAAUACCCCUAGGAUUGAGUGGUCCCUGCAAGGUAAUAAUAGUAUUAAUCCAAAGAUAAGAAAUGAUUAAAGGGGUUGAUCUAAGAAUCAAAAAAUCGAAAGCACCAGAUCCUCUAUACUUUCGAUAACAUAGUAGCUCUACUAUAUAUAUAUAUAUAUAUAUAUAUAUAUAUAUAUAUAUAUAUAUAUAUAUAUAUAUAUAAUAUUCGAGCUUUUCGAGCCUAAUUCGAACGAGCCGAGUAAUACUCAAGCUUGGCUUGAAAUGAAAUAUAAUAAAUUAUUUUGUUGGUAACCGGAUUUUUCGAUCCUUGACCCGGUCCAAAAUCCUCAUCGGGAAGCGCGUCGGGGAGAGGAACGGCUGCGGAUAAUGACCCUCGAAGUUUGCGCCAUUCAACAGAUCAAGCGAUUCGGCUGACGAGGGAUCGAGCCAGCCGGGUUCGAAAAUCACUACUAUCUAUUCGGUUCGGCUGGAAUGAGUCGAAUGUACAGAGCAGGCCAGAAACUAAGCCGGAAGAAGAGCCGAAUGGCUAAAGCAACACGAGAUUUGGUUGGCUUGAAGAGCCGAAAUGACUUUCUAUUGAUUCACUGAUGGGAAGUACAAGAAUGGAUAUAUAGUUUACAACGGAGUAGUGCCCGUGGGGCAUGCAGACUCCAGAGAUCUACCUUAGCAAACUACUCCUAAGAAAAAGCAGUGAAAUUACAAGUAAAGUACUUCUAAGAAAAUGCGAGAAAAUGCAAGAGAAAUAAGGGUGGUCUUUUGUUUAUCGGGGAAAAGACCUCUUUUUAGGAUGUUAUUGACCUAUAUAUAGAUUGCCACUUGAUCAGUUAUUGCUCUACACGAUCGACCACUAUCUCCUAAAAUCCCGGACCACCUCCAGCCGAUCGGAACCGCAUACAACUGCUUGCGGUUACUGUAACUUCCUUCAAUUGGCGCGAUGGUUUUCUUUAAAACUCUUCCGGUGCUCCUGGUGCACGGCCAGAUUAAUGCCUUUCAAGGGAAUACCGGCAUACCACCUAUCCGCGCCUAAUUGGCUCAACAAUUGCCCUCUCGGUAGCUUUCAAAGUAUUUGGUAGCUGGCGUGAACCGAGGCGCGAUUACUUUUCAACUUCCUGGUACGGUUUCGUCUCAAACGUCCACUUUUCUACUGCCGAAAUCCCGCCAUCGCUUUAAUAACAAGUGAGAUCCAAGGGCGUGGUUCUCGGUCCAAUUAAAUUCAAAUUCUCUGUACGAGUCACUGAUGUAAUCUGAGACGUGAUCCUUUGCACGAUUCAAACUUGGCUGUCCAUUUUUAUUUUUACGGCCCCAAUCUCGCCUUCUACUUUUGUCUUAUCCGCGGCAUUAAUUAGGACAUCUUAAUUACAGCCGUCUAUUCAUCAUUAUAGCUGCUCUCGGAACUCGCUUCGAUGCGACGGUUCAACACGACAGCCUUUUCUUCUUCUCCAAGCUUCUCAUUUCUUUUGUUUUUUCUGUUCCUUUUUUGUUUAUUCCUCGUCUUCUCCGACGAAACCUCUCCUUCGCUUCUCUUUACUUCUUCUUCGUCUUCUCUGAUUUUUUUUUAAUCUUCAUCUUUCAUUCAUAGCUUCUACUCAUUUCAUAGUUUCUUUUCGCUUCGAGUAAUGGCGCCGCUCCCGCCUUUACCUACUCGUCCUUCGCUGGAUUAUACCUUGCUUAAAUCGUAUCUCGAAACGGACCCUACUAGAUUCAUUUUGGGUCCCUCUUUUACUGAAAACCUGCCUACUGAUGACUUCCCUUAUUCUGACGACGGUCUUCCAUUAGUGGCCAAAUCCAUACAUCUCCAUUCCUGGUACCCUUCAGCUUCAACAGGAAAAAGUCUGCGAACUUGGCCUAGUGUUUCGGAUACUUAUUUGGCUUGGUCAGAUCGAGUGGAAGCCGCCUAUGGUGAUUUCUGGUGGGACAUUGGGGUCUAUGAAGCUAUUCGGUUGUCUUGGAAACCUCCGGUAGCCGACAACCUUCUUUUGGCUUCUGCUCUCUGUUUCUGAUCUCCUGUUUGCAAUGUUUUUCUUUUUAAAGGGGGAUCUCUUACUCCGACUCUUUUAGAUGUAGCAGCUAUCAUUGGUCUACGGCCUCAUGGUGUUACUCUCUCCAUGGCCUACAAUCCUGAUGGUGUAACCGAUUUUGAGGCCCAUCUUGACCCCACUGAUUUAGCCUACUCCUUAAAUUUGCAGGUGAAUCCCCUGCCCCUGUCACUAAGAAAGAACACACAGCAUUCCUUCUAUAUUGGUUAUGUCAUAACCUCUUCUGCACUCGUUCGCAGAAGAUUAAUCGAGAUUUUGUCCCCAUCGCCGUCGAUUUGUCUAACAGCGAUAAAUUAGCUCUUGGGCCUUACUUUCUUGCUUUUGUCUAUAGAGAAAAUUUUGAUUCUCUCGAACCACUACCCUCUGGAGACGAGGUAACAAUCAGUUCGGGUUGUUGUGUUUUCUGGUUUUUACAAAUGUUUUUGCAGAUUUACUUCCCUAAUUUGUGCCGAACUCCUUUGAAUAAAGAUUCGGCUGCUUAUUUUGAUUCUUAUGGGCUGGUUCUCGCCCGUCCUCCGCCGUUAACAUCAGGCCGUCUUUCUGACUUUAUCUCUUAUUUUAAAAUGUUUUACGAAUCUCGUCCUCAUUUCUCCAUUCAUUGAUCUCCAUUUGCUGACCGUGUCACCGGUCCGUCUUGGUUCUUAGCAAGAUACGAAGCUCUUCAAGGCGAACUUGCUUUUUCUCGCGUCGGCCAGUAUGCCGAUGUUUGGUACUCUUUUUUGGCACCAAGGGAUUUGCACAGUGGAAUGAAAUCGCGCUCGAAAUUGUUGCUUAGUACUGAGGUUUAUUCUCCUCAGCUCGUAGCGCGUUAAUUUGGAUUUACCCAAGCAGUCCCUGCUCCAGCCAAGUUCUUCACGGCCAAUACUGCUGUUGACCGACCCCCUACCAAGAGUAUAGCCGAUGCUGAUCGGAUCUCGGCUAUGGAAAAUCGCCUUCGGCGGUUCUUCAAAUUAGUAAGCUUCAGGCUGAAUUACACAGGGGUGGUAGGCUUUCGAUAUACCGUCACCUGGGAUCACUUUGCCGAUCGUAUUUUCAAUCGAUCAGCAUUACAAGCGUUCCGUCAGACUAUUCUCCCACUCGGUACACCUCUUUUGCUUAUAGUCAUUCUUCUUUCAUUUUAAAAUCUAUUAAAUUUUAUUUGUCUCUAGAUACAACGGUACCUAUUCCAAUUGAUCUCGCUGCUUCAUUUGUACCAAAAGAAGAACAAGAAGAGACCUCUAAUAUUCCAACUCCUUCUUCUGUAAUACACUCUGCUUUUCUUUGGACUUUUCUUUUCUUACUAUACCCAACACUUAUUUUGCCUUUAUCUUUUUGCCUACAGUCAAUUCCAGUUUCUCCAUCGGUACCCGCUUCAGAGAAAAGGCCGAUUGAAACCACACAAUCUACCCCUCCGUCGCCUUUGAAACGGCGCAAGUCGGUUGCCAAGAGACCACAUUCACAUUCUCAACAAACCGAAGGCGCUUCUUCUGCUAACGUUUAAAAAAAAAGAACCGAAGAUGUACCUUCGGUUACAAUUCCAGAAAGAAGAGCUGAAAAAACAACUUCAGCUGAUGUUCCAAUAGAAAGAACCGAAAUACCUUCUUCGGCUGCUGAACAAAGCUCUAUUUCGGAUGAGCCGAUUGAGAUUGAGGUAAACCAAUUUAGUUAUCUGUACUCAAUCCUUUUGUUUCUUCAUUUAUUUAUUCUUUUCCCCUAAUAAAACAGUCCUCUCGUGAAAGAGUCCAUUUUGCUCCUUCUUUGAAGUCGCAGAUGGAUAGACAACUCCGCCGGGAGGCUCGCCUCAGAAAGAAACAAGAAGCAGAAAAGAAGAAGGCAACUCAAGAAUUGAGCCAAGAAUUGCCGACAAGCGAUGUAGCAUCACCUCUGUCCAUUCCAAUUCCAGCAACAGAAAGAGAAAAAGUAACUGCACCUUUGGGAGAAGAUGUUGAAGGAGCACGAACAGAGCCUUAUUUGACUCCAGAAGCUUCUUAAUCUAUUCAAGAAGAUCCUCUGUCUGCAACUUUUCACUCUUUCUUAGUUUCGAGUCCAAAUUCUAAUGAAGAAGAUGACUCAACUAUCAUUGUGAUGUCGUCAGACACUCAACAACAAUUUGAUGAGUGUCUACGAUUAUAUAGUCAAGGUCUCCUAUAUUUGGCUCAGAAUCCAGAGCAAUUUGAUCGGCUAUGUACACUUUUACUUGACUUGGCCGAUCGGUCAGACAUCUCUUCUGCCGGUAAAUAUUUUGUAAAGAUUCUAUCGUCUCAACUUUCUUCUUUUUUAGCUCGGCAACAAUCUUUGGGUCCCGAGCUUUUAUCUUUGGAUCAACAUUUUCACUGCGUUGAUCAUUUUAAGAAGACUAUUCCUAAGGUAGCAGCUCCCAUUACCAAAGUGAGCCAAGAGGAUCGUGUCUUAGCAGAUCAAGAAUCAGCUCUGCAUCAGCGCAUUUUAACUCUUGAAGAAGAAUUGGCUGCAGCCAAAUCGACUGUAGCCCAUAUUUCUGAGCGUCGGCUUCAAUUGCAACAGUAAUUGAAAUCUAAGAAAGAAAAGGGGAUAAAACUUCGAGAGGAACUCUCUCAACUCUACAAAGUACAUCCCUUGAUGAAGCGUCAAAGAAAAGCUACCGAAACUGCCCAAGCCAACCUGAUAGCCGAAUGGAAUCAACUCAGAGAUUUAUUAUCUUGAUUCGGCUUGUAAUACUCUAACUCUUAUUUUGAUUAUCUUCCCACAUGGAUGGGUAGUAUUUCUUUAAAUAUUUGCCGUUAACUGGCCUCUCAUUUUCUGACCCAUCUCUGUUUUUCAAGUAAUAUGCAUUUUCUUUUGUGAUUCUGCUUAUCUGAAAUGGUCCUUCCCAAUUUGGAGACCAUUUACCAUAUAAUCGGUCUUUUCGACCGAUGGGAAAUAAUAGCCUAAGAACUAAAUCAUCAACCGCAAAGGAUUUGGCUCUCACUUUAUAUGUACCACACACUCGGCUUUGAUAAGCUUAUAAAUGAUUCAAUGCCAUCAACUCAGUUUCAUGUGUUUCCUCCAUUUCUUCAUUCAUCAACUUACUAUAUUCAUUAGCCGACUGUAAGGUACCGAACUUUUGAAAUUAUGAAGUUACGGUGGGAUGUGAUAUACCGAAUUUUUAAUAUAAAGAUAAGAGUAAAUAAAAAUAGUGUGAGAUGCUAUUUUUAUUUGACUUAGAGAAGUAAAAUAGAAGUCGGAAACGACUUGUGCUGAAAUCGGACCUGAAACAGAAGAUUUAGAAUUUUCUGUUGGAAACGGGAUUGAUAUUUUAGCAGAAAAUGUACAGUGUCAGAAAAUUAUAAAAACUUGGGAAUAUGUCGGAAUUAUUUUUAUGAGGCUAGAUUUAAAGUUUCAUGUCAAUUCGACACCCGGAAGGUGGAAAAUAAAAUUCGACUGCUAUCUGCUAAAGAUUACAGUUCGGUAGAGCUUUCGGUGACCAAACGGGGUCGAAACUGAAAGAUUAAAAUUUCUUUGUACUUAUUAAGUAAAACCAAGCCUGACUGUCAAAUUUGAGUACAAACGGACAUUCAGAAGGGCUCCGGCGAAAACGUCAGUUUGUAGCUGCUAAACUGAAAUAGUGUAUGCUACUAUUGAGGGGUAUUGACUAUAAAUAGAAGCUACUAGUCUUCUUCUUCUCCCACAGCCGAACACUCCACAACACCACACAUUCAUGGUGGUAGUAAGAGAAACCCUCCCUUUCUCUCUCUAAAUAUCUCUCUCAUCUCUUUAGAUCUCUCUCUCAAAUUUGCGGCGUUGGCGGAGAGCAAGCUUGUAAACGCGUUGGAAGUGACGGAUCGAGCUUUCGUGCGCCCGUUGGAGCGGCGUGCUUCCGUCUUGCCGUUCACAUUUUGGUAAGCUUUUAGGAUUUGGUUUAAUCCUUAUGCUUAAGUGUUCUAGUAGCCUCUAAUAUGAUGUUUGCAUGUUUUCUCCAUUUAAUUUGGGUUAUUUGGAGCAUGCGUAGAAGCUAGGUUUAGAAUAGGAUUUUUGUGAAAUGAUUGGGUUUGAUCUAAAUUGAACCUAUAUAAACCUAAUUGCUAGGUAUUCCGACGCGUUGGCGAAGUCGAUUCGGCGAUCCGUCGAGCCUACACGAAGAUAUUGGCAAAAAUGCCGUUUUGGCUUCGUUUCCGCCUGGAGGGCCGAGACGACUUCCAAAAAUCAUGAAAUUGGAAUAGUAGCAUCACGGCAUCAAGUUAUAAACCUUUAAUUUUCGGAUUAUGGAUUGAUGGCCGUUUGGUGGUCGAGCGAGAGUUUGAGCAGAACCGGGCGGCGUGUGCCGCGGGGAGGCCGAUUGCAAGUGACUACGAGCAAUCGGAACGCGAUAAAAGAUGAGGGGUGUCCAUCCCGAAGCAACCGGGCUUUCUUUUAUGUUUAAGUUCUAUUUUGAUCAUAUUCAUAUAUUGAUAUUGUACAUUAUAGGAUUAGUAGAUGAUUACAUUCCAUUUUCUUGCAUGUUUCCUAUAGUAGUGUAGCAUUGUGGGCUUGACACUUGAACUUAGGUUGCAUGAGAAUUGGGUCAUGUGACAAGAAUCCUAUAGUGACAAGAAUGAUGAUGAACUUGGACUUGUGAUGAUGAAAACAAGUGGCAUUCAAAUUAGUAUAGUAGAGAUACUAUAAUGUAAUCGGGUGGUAUGUCAAUUUAGUGUAUAUUGAGACACAUACAACAUCAUGACAUAAAUGAGUGGCAUCAAAUCUAGUGUAGUGGAACACUAUGGCAUUUGAACCUAGGGAUAGUAGAUUUUUUUCGAUUGUCAUGUUGUUGACAUUAUGCAUUUCGCAUUAGUGCAGUUGAGGCAUUGUGGCCCUAGUAGAUAGGGUAUACUCCAGUGUGGGGAUUGGAUCAUACUCACAUAGUCUGUGUAACCUUGGCGUGGUCGCUCCACCCAAGUAGUGAGCUCCGGAGUAGUAGUCACGUUGGGGCAGACAUAGUUGUCCCGCAGGCGGGUCUUGGGUGGGUGUAGUGCACAUUCUCCCCACUAGCGAGAUUUGAGAUGUGAGUCGGGGUAGCAACCUUCGGGUUGUCUCGGAGUAGCAACCUUCGGGUUGACCAUGAGAUUGGAUACUAUCGAGGCAUAGUUGCACGACGCACUACGUAGUACCUCCUUUAUUCUGAUUAUCGAGGCAUAGUUGCGCGACGCACUAUAUAGUAGCUUGUUCAUUCACGUGAUUGUUGAGGCAUAGUAUCAUGUGUAGAUUGUAUACUAUGUAGUAGCUCAUGCAUUUCACUUGGGUAUGGUAUUUGGAUAUUUGAGGCAUAGUAGCAUGUUGCAGGAUACAUUACUAUGCAGUAGCCCAUUUCCAUUAUUGUUAAGGCAUAGUAUCAUGUGUAGUUUGCAUAUUAUGUAGUAGCUCAUUUCUUUUAUUGUUGAGGCAUAGUAGCAUGUGUAGAUUGCAUACUAUGUAGUUGCUCAUACAUCAGAUUAUUGAGGCAUAGAUCAUAUACUAUGUUGUAGCUCAUAUCCUUGAUUAUUGAAGGCAUAGUAAAUUGCUGCAGAUUACUUUACUAUGUUGCUCUUCAAUUUCAGAUCUAUCUAUCUGCUUGUGCCUGCUUAGACCUAUUGGAAAGAUCGACGGAGUCGGCGGCCGAACCCACUGGGAACUAUAUUUAUAUAGUUCUUACCUCACUUUGUUGCAGUGCCUAGCGAGAGCGUACCGGCAGUUGAUCGCGGUAAGGGCAUAGCGCCCUAAUUAGCUAGCGGCUUCCAUUUUGCAUUAGAGUGCCCUCGUGUACUUGAGCGCCAUGUGAUGUAUAUUGGUGAGGGUGCUAGUUGGAGAGCUAUGAUUGUAUUAUGAGAAGAAUAUGUAUUCAUGUUUUGGGAAAUGAAGAUGUAAUCAAAAUAUGUAAAGGUUGAAUGUGGUGUAAUAGCUAGAUUAUCUCUCUUUUAUGCACUUGUAUAUUUACUUGUAUCUUGCUCUUGCUGGUAUAGCACUUGUGGUGCUUCGUUGAAUCAUGUAUGUUAAUUGAGUUUAUUCUGGGCAACUCUUGUACAUGAUCUUGUUGUUGAGCCUUGGGCGGACAGGGGAGGUGCUGUCCGUCCGGCGUCUGUUCAACGUGCCCAGAUCUGACCAAAUUGGCGGGUCGCGGGGCGUGACAGAUAAGAUGGUAUCAGAGCAAGUUAAGAGCAAGUAAAGAGAGAGUUUAGGAUGGACCUAGGAGACCCUAGGAUGGUAAACCGUAAGGUUAUAGGUACGUGAGUGGAACGUGAACCUAUAACGGUGGCGGAAGUUGAAUCGAUUGGGUUAAGUUAGUAAAUCUCUAAGACGGAUGUUAGAAGUGGAUUCAAGGUUCAGCUUAUUCUCACCUGAGGGUGCUCAUGUUGGAUGCAUACAACAUGAAACCGAGAAAUAAGAAUAGGCACCCUUGUAUGACUUUCGCCUGAUUUGAGUCACGUUGUCUAGUAGUUGCGACGAGAUUAACGGGUUAAGGUGAUUAGCCGAGUUGUUGCGUUUCAGGAGCUAAUGUCCCCGAGACGCUACACGCGUAGAUCUAUUCCGGCACCGUCUUCUGAGAUGCCCGAGCAAGUUGGGUCUAGCGAGGUGCAGGAGUUGCGGGCGCAAGUGACUGCACUAGCCAGUGUGGUGUUGCGCCAAGAGAGCUGCAAGUAAUUGCACUAGCCAGUGUGGUGCUGUGCCAAGAGAGCCGGUUCGAGCGGCUCCAAGAGCUAUUGGAGCGGCAAGUGGCGGCAGCGGCCGCGACGGCAACUGAGGGCCGUGAUCCGCCCGCACCCUCGGCGCGCGCGCCUGAAGCGGCUAAGGGUGAGGGCAUAGCGGCGGUUCCGGUGGCGGCAUGUCCCCCGCCGGCAAGUGUUCCUCCGGCAGCUUCAGGUUCGGCGACACCCGAUACUGCGGCCGAGGAGGCGGAGAGGGAGCGCGCGUUGGCGGCUCUCAUUGUCACGCCCCCGCCUCGAAACCCCUACCAAUUUGGCACGGUUCGGGUGCGGCGAACGGACGCCGAAUGGAUAGCACCUCCCCUGUCCGCCCAAGGCUCAACAAUAGAUCGAGUACAAGAAUUUAUCCAGAAUUUUAAAUUUUAUAAGUCCACAAUCAACGGGGCACAAACAAUGCCAACAACAAAGGGCAAGAAUCCACAAGAUACACAAGUGAAAUAAAUAAAGAGAGUUUUUUUUUUUUUUUUUACUAACUAUUACAUUAAUUGCAUCACAUUCUUUUACAUUUACAUUUUUCUCAAAAUGAAUACAUACUCUCAAGUACAUAGCUCUCCAAAGUCCUCCCCUACAUGAAUCUCUCUCUCAAAUACAUAGGUGUGCUAAUGCACAAGGAAAGCUACUACUCUACCAAUAAUCCUUACUAGUCGGGCACGAUGCCCUUGCCGCGGUCCUCGCCCGGCAAACCUGUACCUUGCCCUGGAAAUAGAGAGGGGUGAGAACUAUCUUUCAUAGUUCCCAGUGGGCUCGACCGCCGACUCCGCCGAUCUCCCUACUAGGUCCAAGUGGGCACAAGUAACAACGAGAUAGAUAGAUAUAUAUAUCAAAGCUGUAAAGACAUAAUAGGAAAAUAUACUACUAUGCCCAUAAUCAUGUGAAAUGAAUGCAUGCAUCAUUUAGUAAAAGUUUACUAUCAUGCUAACAAGUUCGAUCCAUGUUCGAUAAGCAAUGUUUAAUGACAAUGUUAACUUUUCAUUUACCCAAUCUGUGGCGAAACCCUUGGGUUUGCCUACACCUCACAUAUCCAUCCCAUUGGGUAAGGAGGCUCCAUGUGCUCCCGAACCCGGGACUGUCUGCGAACAUCAAUCUAUCCUUAUCGCCCGACACUCUGGAGUACUCGACGACCAAUCCUCUCCAUGUGAGGAUAUGGAUGGCUUUACCAUCCCGAAUAACAGACCGUGAGCUUGAUCUAUCCUCUCCACGUGAGGAUACCCUACGAAAUAGGGCCAACAUUUCUCACGAAACUUACCUAUUCCGGCUUUCAUGCAUAGUUACUUAGCUCUACUAAGUUCAUUGUUCACGAGUCAUUUUCUAGGGAAUCCACCUAUCCCUAAGUUCAUGAACCUCUAGUGUCAAAUACACUACAUAAUGCCACUCGUUCUGUUCUUUAAACAUUUAGACGCCACUCUCUAUGUCACUAUAUAAUAAUCGAGUUCAUCUCUUUCCUUUAGCACUAUAGGAUCCAUGUUCCGACCCAAUCCUUACCUAUCUAUUUCACCAAGUAUUCCAUAUACACUAGGUUAACAUUUAGAAGCAUAAGGAAAAGGUAGUAUAAUGCAACAUGCAAGAGAUGAAAAUUAUGUAUUUCUAAGACAUAGAAAAGAGUUCAGUUGCUUCGGGAUGACACCCCUCCACCUUUUGAGGGUACGAAGGUUCUAGAAACGCUUCCUAACGAACGUUACGACGAUGUCUCGGCCUCCUUGGUCAAAAACGGUGCUCAAUCGGCUAUAUUUCGCCGAUAGCUUUUCACCCGCUCGACGAAUCGAAAAUCUGACUUCGCCCCCCGCGUUUAGACACCUAUCAAUUAGGUUUACAAGCCACUAAAUGAGAUCAAUCUCAUGUAUUCCCAAAAACCCCUAUUUGGGUGCCCUAGGGUUCACAUCUUGCAAUUAGCACUAUAGAACCCUAGCUUCUAGCUCUAUUCCACUAUUAAUGGUGCUAGAGGUCCAUUUGACCUCAUCUCAAAAGCCAAAAAUCCAAAAACCCUAAGUUCUACCAUUAGGGCUCAAGAGCUUACCUCUAGGUUAGCUCCAAUGGAGAGGAGAGGAAGAGGAGAAGAUGCUCCAAGCUUUCCCUAGCUUGCUCUCCUUCUUCUUCUUCUUCUUCUUCUUCUUCCUUUCUCCGUUUUCUUCUUCUCCUUCUUUUCUUCUCUUUCUUUUCUUCUAGAGAGAGAGAGGGAGAGAGAGAGGGAUGGGAGUUGGGAGGGAAAUGAGAGAGGGCGAGAGAGCCCUUUGCCCUCUAUACUCUCUAACUAAGGCAUAAUUGCAGCCAAGCCCCUCAACUUUUCAUUUCUUAAGUUGCUCUGCCUGGGCAGAUUUCGCGCGGACGGACCGGUCCUUCCCUAUCAGGGACCGGUCCCUGAGGACCUUCCAAAAUUCACGCAUAUGGGAACCGGUCCCUGCCCGAGAGACCGGUCGCUGGGAAACCGGUCCUUGCCUAAGAGACCAGUUCUCGAAAGUGGGAUUCUCAGGACUUAGCCAAAUUUUCCUCUGCUCGCUGAUUUCACCUACGGGGACCGGUCCUUCAACCCUGGGGACUGGUUGCAUCAAGCAUUCUUGCAACCACUAGCUACGGGGACCGGUCCGUCCCUGCCAGGGACUGGUCCCUGAGAGCAGAAUCUGUCAAGUUCAGAUUUUGCACCAUUUGCUCUCGUGGACUCGACUCCAAAGCACUUUUUGUGUCUUGGACAUCUCUAGCUUCUCCGAAGCCUACUCACUCGACAAUUAGUCGAUCCUGGACGAAAUAUAACUCUCGGAUUUCGAGAAUUCACUUUCUUACAUCCUCCCCUCCUUAAAAAGAGUUUUGUCCUUGAAACUGAUUCAACUUAAUUUAAACUCUGUUUCUAUACCUUAUUCCUCAAACAAGUGAGGAUGAUGCUUUCUCAUCAAAUCCUCGAGUUCCCAUGUGGCCUCGCGAUCAUCAUGAUUGCUCCACCGGAUUUUCACGUAGGAAAUCUCGUGAUUUCGCAGCUUUCGCACUUCUCGGGCGAUAACCAUCACCGGAAACUCCUCGUAGCUCAAAUCUUCUUGGAGUUCCAGUGGCUCGUAUAGCAUCGCGUGCUCGGGGUCAUGAAUGUACUUGCGAAGGUUGGAGACAUGGAACACAUUGUGUUCAUCCGCGAGCUUCGACGGCAAGGCAAGUCGAUAGGCCACCGUGCGAACUCGCUCCAAUAUCUCAUAUGGUCUAAUGUACCGGAGACUGAACUUUCCCCGCACUCCAAACCGCUUUACGCCCCGCAUUUGCGAAACUUUUAAGAAUACGUGGUCACCCACCGCAAAUUCUAUGUCUCAACGGUGCCUAUCAGCAUAGCUUUUCUGUCUUGACUGCGCCGUGAGUAAUCGCUUUCGAGCAAGGCGGACUUUCUCAUUCGCUUCUCGCAGAACAUCAGGGCCGAACUCUGCACGCUCACCCACAUCGCUCUAGUGUAUAAGAGACCGACACUUCAGCCCAUAAAGAGCCUCGAAUGGUGCCAUCUCCACACUAGCGUGGUAACUAUUUUUGUAGGCGAACUCGGCCAUCAGCAGAUGAUCACACCAACUCCCUUUAUAGUCGAUGACACACGCCCGCAGCAUAUCCUCCAGAGUUUGAAUAGUCCUUUCUGUUUGCCCAUCAGUCUGAGGAUGAAACGCUGAGCUAAAAUCGAGCCGUGUGCCAAGGGCUUCCUGCAGGCUCUUCCAGAAGUGUGAAGUGAACCGAGGGUCGCGAUCCGACACGAUCGAUUUCGGCACCCCGUGCAACCUCACUAUCUCAUCAAGGUACACCUAAGCCAACUUGUCACCUGCCCACAUGGUGUGGAUCGGCAAAAAGUGAGCCGACUUCGUCAAUCGGUCCACAAUUACCCAUAUCGCAUUGUGGCCGCCCGUUGAGCGAGGCAAGCCGACCACAAAGUCCAUCGACAUAUCCUCCCAUUUCCAAAUGGGGAUUGGUAGGCUUUGAAGCUUUUCACUUUUUAUUCCCGGCUACCAAUAGUGCAUUUUUAAUCCCUGAUACAUCUUGGUGCCGCCCGGGUGAUCAGCAUACGGAGACGGGUGUGCUUCUUGCAAGAUUAGCCUUUGGAUCUCCUCGUUGUUCGGCACACACCAUCGGUUUCGAAACCGAAGUGCACCAUCGGCGUCUACUAUGAAAUCGCCGCCACGACCAUUCUCGAUGUCGCGCCGCACCUUUUGGAGUUCCGGGUCCGCGGGUUGCAGAUCUUUGAUCCUCUCUAACAAGGUCGGUUGGACAACGAGUGCCGUCAAUUGAGCCGGAAUCUCAGGAGUAACCACCUCAAGGUUCAUUCGCUCCAUGUCCAGCCACAGGGGUGUUUGAUUUGUAACCCACAUAGCGAGGUUCUCUGCGGACUUUCUACUGAGCGCAUCCGUGGCCACAUUCGCUUUCCCCGAGUGGUAAAGGAUAUCCACAUCGUAAUCCUUUAGUAGUUCUAACCACCGCCGCUGUCGCAUGUUGAGCUCUUUCUAUGUAAACAGAUAUUUUAGGCACUUGUGGUCGGUAUAGAUCUCACAAUGGGCACCGUAUAGAUAGUGCCUCCACAAUUUCAAAGCGAAGAUCACCGCUGCAAGCUCUAAGUCAUGGAUGGGGUAGUUCUUCUCAUAACUCUUCAGCUAACGGGACGCAUAAGCGAUUACCUUCCCGUUUUGCAUCAGUACACACCCCAACCCCAGAUAGGAUGCGUCGCUGUAGACCACAAAGUCUUCACCCUGCACCGGUAGAGCGAGUACCGGAGUCAAAGUUAGCCUUUCCUUCAACUCUUUGAAACUCCGGUCGCACUCCUCGCUCCAGACGAACUUGGUGCCUUUCUUAGUCAGAUAGGUAAGAGGAAUUACUAUCUUCGAAAAGCCCUCCACGAACCGUCUAUAGUAGCCCACCAAGCCCACGAAGCUUCGAACCUCCGUGACAUUCGUCGGGCGCGGCCAAUCCUUGAUUGCCUCAACUUUCCUCGGGUCUACUGAAACUCUACCCGCAAAAAUCACAUGCCCUAGAAAUGCGACCUCUCGAAGCCAGAAGUCACACUUCUUUAACAUAGCAUAUAGCUUCUCCUCCCGAAGGACUUGAAGCACAAUCCUCAAAUGCUCGGCAUGUUCCUCGUCACUACGAGAAUAGACCAAUAUGUCGUCUAUGAAGACUACGACAAAUCGGUCCAAAUACUUCCUGAAGACACGGUUCAUCAAGUCCAUAAACGCCGCUGGAGCAUUCAUGAGUCCAAAUGGCAUGACCGUGAAUUCAUAGUGCCUGUACCGCGUACGGAACGCAGUUUUCUGCACAUCUUCCGGCUUGAUCUUCAACUGGUGAUAGCCGGACUGUAAAUCUAUUUCGAGUAUACACACGACCCUUGCAACUGAUCGAACAGGUCAUCGAUUCGGGGUAGUAGGUACUUGUUCUUGAUCGUGACUCUGUUCAACUCUCGAUAAUCCAUGCAGAGUCGAAACGAUCCGUCAUUCUUCCGCACAUAUAACACCGGGGCUCCCCACGGUGAUACACUUGGCCGGAUAAAUUGCUUAUCGAGGAGGUCCUGUAACUGGCUCCUCAACUCUUUCAGUUUCACCGGCGCCAUUCGGUAUGGAGCCUUCGAGAUCGGUGUGGUACCGGGAAUCAAGUCUAUGACGAACUCGAUCUCCUGAUCCGGUGGUAUCCUCGGUAACUCCGCGGGAAACAUAUUCGGGAACUCCCGCACCACCGAUAACUCUAAUGUUGGAGCUACUCGAUCCACUUCCACAACAAUUGCCAAGAAUGCUACGCAACCGCUGUUGACCAACUUUCUUGCUCUCGUCGCCGACACCAUCGCGGCGAAGCACAAGCUUUGACAAUCCCGAUAAGUGAACUCCUUCUGUCCUGGCUCACGAAAUGUAAUCACUCUGCUCUUGUAGUCGAUCGAUGCGUGAUACUUUGAGAGCCAGUCUAUGCCCAAUAUGACAUCGAACUCUUUAAGAUUCUUGAGCUCUAGCAUCCUAAUGGGCAUUAUCCAGUCGCCUACUUGUACUGGACACGAUGAACAUUUCGUGUAGGUAUUAAAUGUCAACCGAGGGCCCUCAACUCGCCACUUGUCACUCGCCUCUAUAAGUAUGUCAUGCAUGCGUACGAAUGAUCUACUGAUAAAUGAAUGCGUGGCUCCUAUAUCAAACAUAGCCCUGGAGUGAACUCUGUUAAUUAAAACCAUACCUACCACUAGGCAAUGCUCCUCUGCCUCCGCAGGCUCUCGGCUUGGAUCUGAGCGGCAAAUACACGUCCGCUCGGGGCCGAUCGCGCCAUCUCGGGCUGGCGCGGCAUCAUCGCACGUCCUGCCGACACGGCCGUCGGUGGAACUCCUCCAUAGUGAGCCGGAAUCACCGGCGUCGAUGCAGUGGAUGGGGUAGGUGAGGCUCCUCCUCUCGGGCAAUCACGUAUGAAGUGCCCCGGUUGCCCGCACUUGUAGCACUUGCCUUGGCAUUGCUCACAACGCGACACCAGGUGGUCUGCACCACAUAUGACGCACCGUGGCGCUCCACUGCCCUUUGGCUGAGUCCGCAGAUACUUCGGGGGCUUCUUGGAACGUGCUUGCCCCCCCGAACUGCCGCCUUGAUGCUUCUUGCCUUUGUCCUUGGACUCGGCCAACAUCUCACGCUUCUCCCGAACAUGGGCGUCACCGUGCUCCGCCCAGAGUGCUCGAUCGAAGACCUCCGCGAAGGUCGUGAGCUUGAGUAUCUGCACGGCCUUGUAGAUCCCCGGCCGAAGUCCUCGCAAGAACCAAUCGGCCCGGUCCCGGUCAUCUCGUACUACGUCCGGGACACAGUCAAUGAUAUGGGAGAACUCCUGCUCAUACUCCGCUACUGAGCGGUCCCCUUGCUCCAAUUUGCAGAACUUCUCCUGGAGCUUCCGCUUCAAUGUGUCGGGAAAAUAAUUGGCGAACAUCGCCCUCUUGAAUUCCUCCCACAGUAUCGACGUGAGGUCGGGAAGUCGAUCCCAUCUGAGCGCUUCCACCAGACCUUUGCCGCUUUCUCCGAGCAGUGGGUGGCGAGAUACACCCUAUCUCUCUCCAAAGUACGCAGAUCUUCGAAGAGAGUCUCCAUCGAGUCGAUCCAAGGCUCGACCAUCGCCGGCUCCACCUUCUCCCCCUCGAAGAUGGGCGGGUUGAACUUCUUGAACUUGAUAAGAGCCGCCAACGCGCGCUCUCCUUCCACGUCUUUGGCCGUCACAUCGGGUGUCGCCGAUCCCGACACCGCCUGAGGAAUAAUUGCCGGCGGUGGACGUGCCAUCACCGGAACCGCCGCUAUGCCCUCACCCUCUGCCGCUUCGGGUGCACGAGUCGAGGGUGCGGGCGGGCCACCGCCUUCAGUCGCGGCCGCUGCCGCAACCUGCCGUUCCAAGAGCUCCUGGAGACGCUCAAAUCGGCUCUCCUAGCGCUGCACCACACCAACCAAUGCGGUCACUUGCGCCCUCAAUAGAUCCACCUCGCUUGAUCCAGCCUGCUCAGGCACCUCAGAAGACGAUGUUGGGGCGGAUCUACGUGUGUAGCGUCUUGGAGACAUUAGUCCCUGAAAAGCAAAUACUUGGUCAGUUAUCUUAACCAAUUACCUCGUCGCGACUAUGACUCAAACUAAUCCAACAGCGAAAUUGGGCGGAAGCACACAAGUGUACUCGUUCUAGACCCUUGGCAUCAUGUCGUCGGCCGCCGGCAUAACCACCUCAAGUCAAGAACUAAUACUACUUGAAUCCAUCUCUAGCAUCUACUAGAGAUAUUUCACCAACUUCAACCCAAUCGAAUCACUUCCGUCACCGGUACAGGUUCACGUUCCAUUCACGCACCUAUAGCCUUAGGGUUUACCAACCUAGGGUCUCCUAGGUCAUCCUAGACUUUCUCUUUUUACUUACUCUUAUUGCUCUGAUACCACACACUGUCAUGCCCCCACCCCGAAACCCUUAUCAAUUUGGCACGAUUCGGGUGCGGCGAACGGACGCCGAACGGACAGCACCUCCCCUGUCCGCCCAAGGCUUAACAACAGAUCGAGUACAAGAAUUUAUCCAGAAUUUUAAAUUCUAUAAGUACACAAUCAACGGGGCACAAAUAGUGCCAACAACAAAGGGCAGGUAAUCCACAAGAUACACAAGUGAAAUAAAGAGAGUUUUUUUUUUUUUACUAACCAUUACAUUAAUUGCAUCACAUUCUUUUACAUUUACAUUUUCCUCAAAAUGAGUACAUAGUUUCAAGUACAUAGCUCUCCAAAGCCCUCACCUACAUGAAUCUCUCUCUCAAAUACAUAGGUGUGCUAAUGCAAAAGAAAAGCUACUACUCUACCAAUAAUCCUCACUGGUCGGUUGCGAUGCCCUUGCCACGGUCCUCGUCUGGCAAACCUGUACCUAGCCCUGGAAAUAGAGUGGGGUGAGAACUAUCUUCCAUAGUUUCCAGUGGGCUCGGCCACCGACUCCGCCGAUCUCCCCACUACGUCCAAGUGGGCACAAGUAACAACGAGAUAGAUAGAUAUAUAUAUCAAAGCUGUAAAGACAUAAUAGGAAAACUAUGCUACUAUGCCCAUAAUAAUGUGAAAUGAAUGCAUGCAUCAUUUAGUAAAAGUUUACUAUCAUGCUAACAAAUUCGAUCCAUAUUCGAUAAGCAAUGUUCGAUGACAAUGUUAACUUUUCAUUUACCCAAUCUAUAGCGAAAUCCUUGGGUUUGCCUACGCCUCACAUAUCCAUCCCAUUGGGUAAGGAGGCUCCAUGUGCCCCCAAACCCGGGAUGUCUGCAGACAUCAAUCUGUCCUUAUCGCCCGACACUCUGGAGUACUCGACGACCAAUCCUCUCCAUGUGAGGAUAUGGAUGGCUUUACCAUCCCGAAUAACAGACCGUGAGCUUGAUCUAUCCUCUCCACGUGAGGAUACAUACCGAACUAGGGCCAACAUGUCAUGCCCCGGAACCCGGCAUAGGCCCGCCCGGUGCAUGCCCAGACCCGCCAUAUGUCUACACAUAUAAGGCGUCUACAACAACAGCGAAAAAUAAAGCCAAAGAUAGUCUACCACUAGAGUUAUCAGAGCGAGUAAAUCUAUCAUCUAUAACAAGGUGGUAGGAAAUAGACUAAACAAUAAAAGUGAAUCAUAAAGUUAUACAAUAACCAUUUCCAAAAGGGUGCACAAAGGGUGGUCUCUAUGCAUGGAUACAACUCUCAACCUCUAAAAAAAAAAAAAAGAAAAACAACGAGAGGUAGACCACCUAUCAACGCGUCCCUCGAUAGCAAGCUAACUCAAGGCGAUACCCUUUCCGCGGUCCCUAGCCUCCCCCGACGUGGAAGGUGAAAGUUUUGAGGAGCCCAAGGAUCUAUCUAGAUUGUAUCUAUCACCUAGAGGGGGGGGUGAAUAGGUGUAACGACCAAAAACCACAAAUCUCGAUGCAAUAAAAAUAAAUGCAGAAAAUAAAAAGCACACCGAGAUUUACGUGGGAAAACUCCAACUUGGAGAAAAACCCACGGGACCAACACGCGAAAAAACAAUUCACUAAGAGAAAAGAUUACAAGGUGAUUACCGACUCCACGGACUUAACCUCUCUUAACCUCCUAUGAAUCUUCGCGCUACCCUCCGGGUUGUCCACGCCCUCACGUCCGAGUCCACGAACGCCUCCACUUCGAAUCCACGAAGCUUCAAUCACGCCAAAUCCACGACGCCACUCGAAUCCACGAGUCCACGAUCCGAAUCCACGAACCGCCGUCAAAUACGCCGAAUCCACGACGCCACCAUGAAGAAUAUCAUGAAUAUGGUGAUCCUUCGCUUUGGAGUAUUGUAGAAAACCAGGGAAUAGAACUCCAAGCAAAGCGGAGAUCAAAUCGACAUAUUGAGAAUGCGAAACGAUAUCUCGAUUUGAUCUAAAAGAGGCUUUUUGUGGAAAAUAGGUUUAAGAUGAAAUCCGAGCCUCUAGGGUUUCUCAAAUAUGUAUUUUCGUGAUGCUUAAUCAAUUAGAGAAGCCCAAUAGCUUAUUUAUAGACUUUAGAAUCAAUUGGAGUCGAAUUAGAAAGUUUCUUUCCAAAAACAGCACCUUGUACCGGAACAAGGAAUGUUGUCCAGGGUACACCAGACGGAAGAUUUUUCUGCGAAGCUGCUGUACCCUGGACAGGCUGUUGCUUGUUCCGGAACAGGGCUUGUACCGGUACAGCAUGAGCUUGUACCGGAACAACCAUCAAACUUCUGCGCGAACGUUGAUGGCUGUACCCUGGACAGAAAAGCCUUGUACCGGUACAGCAAUGCAAUUUUCGCUGAAAAUGCAUUGUUUUGAAUUUUACAAACUCUUAGAAACUUUCUAAUUAAUUACAACUUGAAAACAUGAUUCUAAGAUCUAUAAUUAAGUAUGAAUCACCAUAAACAAGAUUUAAAGAUUACCUACGCAUCGUGAUUCGUGUUUUGCAUCCUUUCCAAUUCUUCGAAGUCUUGGAUUCUUCCAUCUUCAAUACUCCGAUCCGAACUUCUUCAAGACUCCGACUCGACCCACGAAACUUGCCAACACAUAGGACCUAACAGAAGGCUCUGAAAUAAAAAUAUAAAACAGAGGGCGUGAGAACUAUAAUUUAUAGUUCCCAGUGGGCAAUUACUGACCUCAGCUCAAUGCACCACUAGGCCCCAAAAGAAAAGGGUAAGUACGAUAAGAAACAAUAAUAAUAAUGAUGACCGCGGUAGGAAAGCAUGUAUGAUUACUAAGAUUACUAUACCAUAAGCAUUACGAUGUCAAUGUGUUCUACAUUUACUCUUUCAUAAUGAAGUAUGUCCAAUGCACAAAUAAUAUGUCCCAACAUGGCAAUAAGUAAAUAUCAUGAUCCGUUCUAUCAAUGUAUGAUGAUUAUGAUCUAUCAUCAUGGCAACCAAGUAUACUAUGAUGCAACAAGUAAACUGUCAAGUAUACUACAUGUCUCAACACUAUGCUAUAAGCAUGUCAAAGUAAUCCAACUACCAAGCCUAUCUUGUAGUGAUUGUCAUUUCCCCGUUCAAUGUCAUUGUUUCCAACAUGAACUAGGACCUACAUAGUGUAGUCCAGCUUGUGCCAGCUAAGUGUCGGUGGUAGCUUCAGCAUUCUCACUCUAGGAAUGAGUCUAUCCCUUCCGACCCCGUAGGUUUCUCGAUACCGCACGAGCGAGCAUAAGUCGCGUAGGCCAACUCCGAAGUGCCGGCUUGUAGGGAGCUACCCUUACAAACAUGUGUGAAAGAGCACAAAUGGCAAGCAAGCGUAGUCAAUGUCUCAAGUUCCCAAUCGUCAUGUCUCUAACAUGGUAAUAGCCACUAGCAUCCAACGAUCUAGUUCUAUGUCUUAAGGUAAAGUUCCAACUCUCACUAUGCUUAGUGCCUCUUUAUGACACUUAAGCAUUACUAUAGGUCAAGCACACCACCUACUCAAUAUUCCAUUAAUGACCUUAACACUAGGUUCAUACAUGACCCGAGCUCAAUGCUGCUUAAUGACAUUAGCCCAAUUAUUCUCAAGUAAUACAAGUCCCCAAGCCUCUUUAUGACUUACUAAGAUUCUUUAAGUCUUAAGUAGGAAUAGCUUUAAAUGCAUGAAAGUAAUGCUCAUUUUCACAAUAGGAAUUAUGAUUCCAAGUCUCAAUAGGAUGCCAAUCAUGUACAAGUUCCCAUGCUAGUUCUCUACUACAUAGAGGUCCGAAAAUUCAUCACACAUAACAUAGGCAUUUUAAACAUCCUAAAAUUCACAAUAAUUAUAUUUAUCAUGGAAAUGCAUGAAUUUCUACUUUACGAAGCAUAAAAUAUAGGAUAUGAGAAUUUCUCAUAUGCUAGGCUAGGUCAAACCCACCGAACCGUCUUAAAACCCUUCGUAAGCUCCAAUGAAGGUGUCCUCUAGCCUCCUAACACCCUAUAGAUGUAGGAACAAGGGUUAAACGAACCUUACGAUCAACCCUAAACUCAAACAUUAACCAACUCAAGCUAAGGAGGAGAGAACUCACCUCUAGAGUCAAAUCUCUUCUCAAGCUUCAAAAGAAAGCUAGAAUCCUUCCAAUCUAAUCUAGAGGAAGGUUCUAAUCCAAGAAAUUGAGCUCCAAAAGUUCUAAAUCCAAAAUGCCCAAAAUCAAGCCCUAAAAACUCAUUCUAGGAUUUCAUCUCAAAGAAACCCUCAAAUCUCGAAAUCUAGAGGAAAGAACAAGUCACUUACCUCUAAUCCAAGCUCAAAACCCUCUAGGUUCAAAGAUCUUCCCCCAAUCAAGCUCCAAGUCCAAGCUCCAAGCCUCUACCAAGGUAGAAAUGGCACCAAAGAGCAAAAGAGAAGAUCAAGCCACCAAAAACCGAAGCAAAAAUCAAAGAAGAAGGAAUAGGGAGGUGUGGAAGGGUCCCUUACCUCUCUCCCUGCUGUUCCAAGCUCAAAGAAUAGCCCUAGGGGCGUGGGUGGUAAUAUAGAGAUGCCACCUUGCAAAAACACCCCUGCAGUUUCGACCAUUCAGAAACUGUCACUGCGUACCGGUACACAGGCCCGCAUACCGGUACACAUCCCACGAAAAUGCCAAACCCGAGCCUCGGGUUGGGUGGGAAGCUGCCUGUGUACCGGUACACGAGCCCGUACCGGUACAACCAUCAACCCUGUACCGGUACAGCCAUCAACCAUGUACCAGUACACAGCUUGCUGAAAGCUACCCGAGAGUUGACCAAAAAUCCGACUUUUCGAGUUUUGGUGCAAAGCUUCAAACCUAAAUUCUUGGGGUACGAGCCAUAGGUCGGAACACUGUUAACGACCCACCAGAAAAUCUGGAAAAACUCAGAACACAAGCAAAACACUUGAACCUCGCAAUUUGCAAAGGUCAAGUGCGUUACACAACAUUUCUCUUGGAACUCACCUAUUCCAACUUUCAUGCAUAGUUACUUAGUAGCUCUACUAAGUUCAUUGUUCACGAGUCAUUUUCUAGGAAAUCCACCUAUCCCAAAGUUCACGAACCUCUAGUGUCAAAUACACUACAUAAUGCCACUCGUUCUGUUCUUUAAACAUUUAGAUGCCACUCUCUAUGUCACUAUAUAACCAUCGAGUUCAUCUCUUUCCUUUAGCACUAUAGGAUCUAUGUUCCGACCCAAUCCUUACUCAUCUAUUUCACCAAGUAUUCCAUGUACACUAGGUUAAUAUUUAGAAGUAUAAGGAAAAGGUACUACAAUGCAACAUGCAAGAGAUGAAAAUCAUGUAUUUCUAAGAUAUAGAAAAGAGUUCGGCUCCUUCGGGAUGACACCCCCCACCUUUUGAGGGUACGAAGGUUCUAGAAACGCUUCCUAACGAACGUUACGACGAUGUCUCGGCCUCCUUGGUCCAAAACGGUGCUCAAUCGGCUAUAUUUCCCCGAUAGCUUUUUACCCGCUCGACGAAUCGAAAAUCCGACUUCGUCCCCACGUUUAGACACCUAUCAAUUAGGUUUACAAGCCACUAAAUCAGAUCAAUCUCAAGCAUUUCCAAAAACCCCUAUUUGGGUGCCCUAGGGUUCACAUCUUGCAAUUAGCACUAUAGAACCCUAGCUUCUAGCUCUAUUCCACUAUUAAUGGUGCUAGAGGUCCAUUUGACCUCAUCUCAAAAGUCAAAAACCCAAAAACUCUAAGUUCUACUAUUAGGGCUCAAGAGCUUACCUCUAGGUUAGCUCCAAUGGAGAGGAGAGGAAGAGGAGAAGAUGCUCCAAACCUUCCCUAGCUCGCUCUCCUUCUUUUUCUUCUUCUCAUUCCUUUCCCCUUCUUCUUCUUCUCCUUCUUUUCUUCUCUUUCUUUUCUUCUAGAGAGAGAGAGGGAGAGAGAGAGAGGGAUGAGAGUUGGGAGGGAAAUGAAAGAGGGAGAGAGAGCCCUUUGCCAUCUAUACUCUCUAACUAAGGCAUAAUUGCAGCCAAGCCCCUCAAAUUUUCAUUUCUUAAACUGCUCUGCCUGGGCAGAUUUCGCACGGAGGGACCAGUCCUUCUCUGCCAAGGACCGGUCCCUGAGGACCUUCCAAAAUUCAUGCGUACGGGAACCGGUCCCUGCCCGAGAGACCGGUCCCUGGGAUACCGGUCCUUGCCUAAGAGACCGGUUCCCGAAAGUGGGAUUCUCAAGACUUAGCCAAAUUUUCCUCUGCUCGCUGAUUUCACCUACGGGGACCGAUCCUUCAGCCCUGGGGACCGGUUGCAUCAAGCUUCCCCGCAACCACCAGCUACGGGGACCGGUCCUUCCCUGCUAAGGACCGGUCCCCGAGAGCAGAAUCUGCCAAGUGCAGAUUUUGCACCAUUUGCUCUCGUGGACUCGACUCCAAAGCACUUUUUGUGUCUUGGACAUCUUUAGUUUCUCCGAGGUCUACUCACUCGACAAUUAGUCGAUCUUGGACGAAGUAUAACUCUCGGAUUUCGAGAAUUCACUUUCUUACACUCAUGAUGUUCCGAAAGUUCAGUCCACCGAUGUUCAACGGGGAGAAGGUUGAGCCUUAGAUGGUUGAGUCAUGGGUGGACUCGAUGGAGACUCUUUUCGAAGAUCUCUACACGUUAGAGAAGGAUAAAGUUCCCCUCGCCACACAUUGCUUGGAACGAGCGAUGAAGGUGUGGUGGAAGCGGAUCAAGCGAGAUCGGUCUCCCGACCUUCCGCCGCUGACGUGUUGUAUAUCAACUAUUUCCCCGAUAGUGAGAAAAAGAAGCUCCAAGAGAAAUUUCGAAAGUUAAAGCAAGAAAACCGCUCAGUUGGAGAAUACGAGCAAGAGUUCUCAUAUAUUAUCGACUGCAUCCCCGACGUGGUGCGAGACGACAGGGAUCGAGCCGAUUGGUUCGAGCGAGGGCUCCGGUCGGACAUCUAUAGGGUGGUUCAUAUUCUGAAACUUACCACAUUCGCGGAGGUGCUUGAUCGACCGUUGUGGGCGGAGCAUGGUAAUGCCCACAUCCGUGAGGAGCGAGAAGCAUUCGAGAGGGACGGGGGUAAGAAGCGAGCCCAAGAUGGUUCAGGAAGUCGGUCGAGGUCGAAGAAGCCUCCGAAGUACCCGCGAGCGCAAUCCCAGAGUCGUGGGACUUGGCAGUGCGUCAUUUGCGGAGGUAACCAUGAUCCGAACCAUUGCGAGCAAAAAGAGGAAAGAUGCUUCACAUGUUGUAAGAUAUCGAAUUUAGACGAUAUUAGCUAACCUUGGCCAAAUGGGCCAAAGUGGGCGAUUAAAUGAAUUGGAUAAGUUCCAUUCGGUGUUUCGACAUUUUUGGAAGAGUAAAAAUGAGUUCCAAAGGUGUUGGAAUGGUUUUAGCGUUGUUCGGUGCGAAAAGAAACCGAAACAGCUUAAGAAACAUCAUUCUGUGAGUGCUGUACCGNCGUUUAUCGUUGUUUGAUUGUGUAUGUAUGCAAGUUGUUUUCCUGGGAACUUGUUGUACACAAUCUGUUGCUUAGCCUUGGGCGGACAGGGGAAACUCCGUCCGUUCGGCGGUCGCGCCGCCGCCCUCGAACCGGACCAAAUUGGUACCGUUUUCGGGCCGCGCGGUUGGGGCGUGACACAUGUGGUCAGGCAGGGCACAUCAGUCGCCACUGUCCUGGGAGGACCUCGCCUGUCCCGUCUAUUGCAUCGGAUCCGGCAAUUCCGGGCCAUUAUGGAGGAGCACCACCUAUUGCUGCGUCAGCUGGACGCGCGUUGGCACCUCGUCAGUCCGAGGUGGCCCGGUCGGCUCCGAGUGGCUGGGUGUUUGCCGCUCAAGUCGAGGAAUCUGCCACUGUCGAAGAUGCCAUGGCAGGUAUGGUUUAGUUGCAGCAAAUAUGUGUUUCUGCAGGGUAUUAAAUUGGUGCAUUGCAUGUAUUUUCAUGGUCAGUUGUGCUAUUUAUACAUUAGUAUAGUAAGGACCAGUGGACGGGUAGGUGAGAGUACCCGGGCAUGCUUGUGUGAGAGAGUAUAGCGCCUGCUUGAGCAGGAAAAAGAGCUAGACGGCACUAGCAAAUUGCUAGUAGUGGUUCUUAGGCGAGAAAUGACACCCGUGGUGGAGAUGAAAUGGCGAAGCGACUCUCAAGGCAAUGUGAUCAGUAGAUUGCGAGAGUUGAGCCAUGAUACUUGUAGGCACCCGAGUAAUCCGAGAAUUUCGAAUAUUGUUCCGGUAGAUUGGACGGUGAAAGUAGAAUCACUGUUGAGAGAACGGUCGAUUAGUGGCCAAGUAUGAGCACGUGGGCCUACUAGUACCUCAAGGUGAGGUAGGCGGUUGUGCUCGUGCGGCCGAUGUGCAUAGGCAAGAUUGCCUAAUGCUAGAUUUCGUGUGGAACGCUGUAGAGGCGUAGAGCGCUCGAGUGUAGAUACUCGUGGAGUGCGGAUGCGGAUUCAGCCUAGAGAGUGUGUUGGCAGUAGCACUUCAGCAUCGCUAAGUGUGAAACGGGCCAUGGGUCACUCGUGGGGCUGAUGGCUCGCACUAGGUGCUUAGGAGCUGAUAGUGGUGUAUGUGACUCGGUAGAGUAUGUCGUGUAGGACGACGACGUCGGGUGUCGCUUGGGGACGACCCGUGCCUGGACCAUUUGUGGACUGUGGAGCCUGGGCCCAUUGGGCUGGCGCAGUCAGCUGUGAGUGACAGCGGCCCGGUACCUACGGAUAGGCAGAGUUAUGGUCAGGACGGUGGUCCGAGCUUAGACCCGGGAGCGUGGGAUGCCACGUGUUGAAUUGCGAGAUCGAGAAUACACCGAGUGUGUAGUGACAAAACCUAAGGAUUUGAUAAGGUGUGGGGUCAUGGUUGAUCCUGGUUGGAGUGUGUGCGAAUUUCCAAGUGAAAAUUUUGCCUAAUUAUGAUUGGGUCCACGCUUGUGAGCGAGAGACGUGCAAGUUGCGACAAGUUUAGGCAGUAGUCCUACAUCGGGUUGGUGACCUUUGGUCCACCCAUGGAAGCCGAGACGAGCGGUUUGGCCGGUAACUCAGUUAGUGAGUUGGCAUGGAUUCACGAACAGAGUGUUCAUGUGAGCUCGUUGUAGAGCAAUUGACGUUGGUCGUGGCAACUGAAAGAGAAAAUAAAGUGGUCUCUUGGAGACACUUGAAUACCGGAUAGCCACGCAGUUUGAGGGUGAUGCUCUUUUGAGGAUUGAGAUGGAAGAUGUGCCGGAGUGUGCCAUCUCGUAGUAGAGCAAAGAUCCGAUUGUGAUAGCAGCACUUGCGAUUGAUCGAUGCACCAACAAUAUUGCUUUUAGGCAAUACUGGUGAUCGGAUCGGAGUGUAUUCCAUAGAUUGUGUAGCGAGUGGUGUUGGAGCAUGAAGAGUCAUUGAGUGUCGACUUACGCUGCCACCGAGACUUGCGGAGUUGUAAUGCACUUUUGGUGUUGCACUUGGCAAUGUGUGUGAGUUUGAUCUCACAUCCUUCGUAGUGGGCCUUUGGAUAGUUCCGAUGAGUGAAAGGCCACUCCGGAGUAGAAAAGUGCAUUGUUACCCUUGAGUACUCGAUAACUCGAAUUAAAGAAUGAUUUAAGUUUCGAGGACGAAACUCUUAUUAAGGAGGGGAGGAUGUAAGAUACCGAACUUCUAAAAUUAUGAAGUUACGGUGGGAUGUAAUAUACCGGAUUUUUAAUAUAAAGAUAAGUAUAAAUAAAAAUAGUAUGAGAUACUAUUUUUAUUUGACUUAGAGAAGUAAAAUAGAAGUCGAAAAUGACUUGUGCUGAAAUCGGACCUGAAAUAGAAGAUUUAGAAUUUUCUAUUUGAAACGGGGCUGAUAUUUUAGCAGAAAAUGCACAGUGUCAGAAAAUUAUGAAAACUUGAGAAUAUGUCGGGAUUAUUUUUAUGAGGCUAGAUUUAAAGUUUCAUGUCAAUCUGACACCCGGAAGGUGAAAAAUAAAAUUCGACUGCUAUCUGGUAGAGAUUACAGUUCGGUAGAGCUUUCGGUGACCAAACGAGGUCGAAACUGAAAGAUUAAAAUUUCUUUGUACUUAUUAAGUAAAACUGAGCCUGACUGUAAAAUUUGAGCGCAAACGGACAUUCAAAAGGGCUCCGACGAAAAACGUCAGUUUGUAGCUGCUAAACUGAAAUAGUGUAUGCUACUAUUGAGGGGUGUUCACUAUAAAUAGAAGCUACUAGUCUUCUUCUUCUUCCACAGCCGAACACUCCACAACACCACACGUUCAUGGUGGUAGUGAGAGAAACCCUCCCUUUCUCUCUCUAAAUAUCUUCUCAUCUCUCUAAAUCUCUAUCUCAAAUUCGCGGCGUUGGCAGAGAGCGAGCUUGUGAACGCGUUGGAAGCGACGGAUCGAGCUUUCGUGCGCCCGUUGGAGCGGCGUGCUUCCGUCUUGGCCUUCACAUUUUGGUAAGCUUUUAGGAUUUGGUUUAAUCCUUAUGCUUAAGUGUUCUAGUAGCCUCUAAUGUGAUGUUUGCAUAUUUCCUCCAUUUAAUUUAGGUUAUUUGGAGCAUGUGUAGAGGCUAGGUUUAGAAUAGGGUUUUUGUGAAAUGAUUGGGUUUAAUCUAAAUUGAACCUAUAUAAAUCUAAUUGCUAGGUAUUCCGACGUGUUGGCAAAGUCGGUUCGGCGAUCCGUCGAGCCUACGCGAAGAUAUUGGCAAAAAGGCCGUUUUAGCUUCAUUUCCGCCUGGAGGGCCGAGGCGACUUCCAAAAAUCGUGAAAUUGGAAUAGUAGCAUCGCGGCAUCAAGUUAUAAACCUUUAAUUUCCGGAUUAUGGAUUGGUGGCCGUUUGGUGGUCGAGCGAGAGUUUGAGCCGAACCGGGCGGCGUGUACCGCAGGGAGCCGAUUGCAAGUGACUACGAGCAAUCGGAACGCGAUAAAAGGUGGGGGGUGUCCAUCCCAAAGCAACCGGGCUUCCUUUUAUGUCUAAGUUCUAUUUUGAUCAUAUUCAUAUAUUGAUAUUGUGCAUUAUAAGAUUAGUAGAUGAUUACAUUCCAUUUCCUUGCAUGUUUCCUAUGGUAGUGUAGCAUUGUGGGCUUGACACUUGAACUUAGGUUGCAUGAGGAUUGGGUCAUGUGACAAGAAUCCUAUAGUGACAAGAAUGAUGAUGAACUUGGACUUGUGAUGAUGAAAACAAGCGACAUUGAAUUAGUAUAGUAGAGAUACUAUAAUGUGAACGAGUGGCAUGUCGAUUUAGUGUAUUGAGACACAUACAACAUCAUGACAUAAAUGAGUGGCAUCAAAUCUAGUGUAGUGGAACACUAUGGCAUUUGAACCUAGGGAUAGUAGAUUUUUUCUGAUUGUCAUGUUGUGGACAUUAUGCAUUUGGCAUUAGUGCAGUUAAGACAUUGUGGCCCUAGUAGAUACGGUAUCCUCCAGUGUGGGGAUUGGAUCAUACUCACAUAGUCUGUGUAAUCUUGGCAUGGUCGCUCCACCCAAGUAGUGAGCUCUGGAGUAGUAGUCGCGUUGGGGCAGACAUAGUUGUCCCGCAGGCGAGUCUUGGGUGGGUGUAGUGCAGAUUCUCCCCACUAGCAAGAUUUGAGAUGUGAGUCGGGGUAGCAACCUUCGGGUUGGCCUCGGUGUAGCAACCUUCGGGUUGACCAUGAGAUUCGAUACUAUCGAGGCAUAGUUGCACGACGCACUAUGUAGUAGCUCGUUCAUUCUGAUUAUCGAGGCAUAGAUGCGCGACGCACUAUGUAGUAGCUCGUUCAUUCAUGUGAUUGUUGAGGCAUAGUAUCAUGUGUAGAUUGUAUACUAUGUAGUAGCUCAUGCAUUUCACUUGGGUAUGGUAUUUGGAUAUUUGAGGCAUAGUAGCAUGUUGCAGGAUACAUUACUAUGUAGUAGCUCAUUUCCAUUAUUGUUGAGGCAUAAUAUCUUGUGUAGUUUGCAUACUAUGUAGUAGCUCAUUUCUUUUAUUGUUGAGGCAUAGUAGCAUGUGUAGAUUGCAUACUAUGUAGUUGCUCAUACAUCGGAUCAUUGAGGCAUAGAUCAUAUACUAUAUUGUAGCUCAUAUCCUUGAUUAUUAAAGGUAAUAAUAGUCUAUUCAAUAGACAAUAGCCGAGUGCUCUUCUUCGAAUAUUGUAAUCGACCUUUUUAUUAGGGUCUUCUAAAUAUUCGAUUAUGGAUUUUCUCCAAUCCUCUUUCACCUCUAUGGGGGCAAUAAUCGGCUCUCGAACAUGAACCGAAGGUAAUAGUCUUUUUUCUAUUUUUAGAAGACUCUGUUUCGGCUCUCUAUACCCUGAAGCCAAUUAGGCUAAUUCAUUUGCUUGUUCAUUUUUCUCUCUCAUCAAAUGCUCAAAUUCAACUUCUCCGAAGCUGCAAAGCAAUUCUACUAUUUUUCUCAAAUAAUUUUGUAAAUUUUGACUUUCGCAUCGGUAUUCUCUACUGACUUGUUUGAUCACUAACUGUGAUUACCGAUGACUUUAAGUGACUUGACUUUCAAUUCUCGUAAAAUUUCAAGACCAAUUAUUAAGGCCUCAUAUUUGGCUUAAUUGUUAGAGCAGCCGAAAUCUAGCUCAAAAGCAAAUUGACAUGAAUAUCCCUCAGGAGACUGUAUAACUAUUCCAGCUCCUGCAGACUCGGCUGUUCUUGAGCCGUCAAAAUAAAGUGUUCAGGGUUGGCAGCCGAUUAAAUUUUGUUUCGGCUCUUUAAUUUCAACACAUGGAUGAUCAACCAAAAAAUCGGCUAUUGCUUGUCCUUUAACAGCUUUCGCUGGAAUAUAAUUAAGAGAAAAUUCAGUCAAAGCCAACAUCCACUUUCCAAGUCGACCCCUUAAUACAGGUUUAGCUAACAUAUACUUUACCAGGUCGGUUUUGCAUACUACCAACACCUCGGUUGGUAAAAUAUAAUACCAUAGUUUUGUACAAGCAUAGUAUAAUGCCAGGCACAAUUUUUCAAUAGUCGAGUAUCGUUUCUCAGUAUCAAAUAACCGUCGGCUUAAGUAAUAAAUGGCAUGUUCUUCAUUUUCUUCAUUUUCUUGGGCUAAUAAACACCCAAGAUUUUCCUCUGCAGCCGAAAUGUAUAAUUUUAUCGGCUGCCCUUGCUUAGGAGGCAUGAGAAUCAGAGGAUUUGAUAAAUAUUUCUUUAUACUUUCAAAUGCUCUUUGUUGUUCCUCCGUCCAAACAAAUUCUUCCUUGCUUUUUAGCCGAAGCAAUGGAGUAAAAACUCCUAUUCUACCGGCCAAAUUAUAUAUGAAUCGCCGUAAAUAAUUGAUUUUCCCCAAUAAGCUUUGCAACUCUUUUUUGCUUUUCGGAGGUGGCAAUUCUGAUAUAGCCUUCGCCUUAUUCUUAUUAAUUUCUAUUCCCUUCUUAUGUAUAAAAAAUCCUAAGAAGUUUCCUGCUGAAACUCCAAAGGCACAUUUCAAGAGACUCAUCUUUAACUUGUAUUUUCUCAUCCUCUCAAAGGCGAGCUUUAGAUCAACCCAAUGUUCGACUUGUGAUUUGGAUUUUACAACUAUAUCGUCGAUGUAAACUUUCAACAUUUUGCCGAUUAAAUCAUGAAAAAUAAAAUUCAUUACUCUUUGAUAAGUAGCUCCGGCAUUUUUCAAACCGAACGGCAUAACUACCCAUUCAAAGGUUCCAAUAGACCCCGGGCAUCUAAAAGCUGUUUUAGCUACAUCAUUCUCAGCAAUAUAAAUUUGAUUAUACCCAGCAUAUCCGUCCAUAAAGGACAGGAUUUCAUUACCGGCAGUCGAAUCUACUAACAUAUCGGCUAUUGGCAUUGGAUAUUCAUCUUUGGUGUAGCUAAGUUUAAGUUUCUAAAAUCAAUGCAAACUCUAAGUUUACCGUUCUUUUUUCAUACUGGAACUAUAUUAGAUACCCAAUCAACAUAACGGGCCGCUCUAACAAAACCGGCCUUUAAAAGAUUUUCAAUUUCAUUCUUAAUUUGGAGUACAAUACUCGGCUCAAACUUACUAGCCGGCUGUUUAUAAGGCUUGAAUCCCUUUUUAAUGGGUAGACUAUGCUCUACAAUUUCUCGACUCAACCCUGGUAUUUCUUCAUAAGUCCAGGCGAAGCAGCCUUUGUACUCCUUCAGCAAUGCUUUCAGCUCCUCCUGUUGAUGAACCGAAAGCUUAGCACUAAUGUAUGUCGAUCGCUUGUCUUCAUCGGAUCCUAAGUUCACCUCUAUUAGCGGAUCCUGUGUUUCCAAUUUUUUUUCACCGACUUUAAUAGGUGACUCUUCUAGGUUUAACUUGCUGGUUAGCCUAUUUGUCUCAUCUGGUCUACCCUCGUCGGCUUCUUCUACCGACUUUGUCCUAUUUUCAGAAUCGGCUUUAACAACCGAUUUUACUACAUCAGCCAUUUCAUCCUUCUCGUUGAGCACCAUAUCAUCGGCCUGCUGGGUCGAAUUUAUCCUACAGCCGAUCUUGUCGAUCGGCUCCUCUUGCCGAAGCUCUUUUAAAGCUUCGGUUCCUUAUUUUUUAACCAGUUUGGUGGCUCUUCGGCUGCCAUCAAAGCUCCUUCAUCACUAGAAAGGAUCAACUGGAUCCCCUCUUCUGUAACUCUUACGAAGGAAAUUUGAUCUGGAUCCGCGUCGGCCCAAUUGAUGUGGCCGACCUCCUCGGUGUUGAUGUCUACUAUUUGGGGUCGUCCUUCGGCCCGAAUUUCUCUAACUUUCUCCCGAAUCCACUGGAAUAAUUUUCCGUGGAGGGUGGAAGGCACGCACUCAUUCGCGUGAAUCCAAUCCCGCCCGAGUAGUAGGUUAUACUGACUAUCUGCAUCAACCACAAAGAAUGCAGUUCUUAAAGUUUUGGAACCUACCGUGAUCUCGGUUGUGAGCACUUCUCGAGCUUGUUGACCGCUUCUAGUGAAAUCGAUCAUAAUAGUGUCAGUCGACUUCAGUUCAUCUUCAUCCUUGCCAAACUUUUUGAAAAAUGAAGUUGGCAUGACAUUGACCAUUGCUACGCCAUCCACCAUAACUCGGCCUACUGGCCGACCUUCGAUUAAGGCCCUAAUGAAUAAUGGCCUCACGAACCUCGUUUGCAUAACCGAUGGUUUCUCAAAAACCACUACAUCGGCUGGUUUAGUGUCUUCUAAUUGUAAUUGGGCUACAUUGAGCCUAUCUUUGUCAUCUACCAACACCUCGUCAUAUUCAAUAUACUCUGCUUUAAAAGAUUGCGGCAGAGUAUAUACCAUAUUGAUAUUGGGUGGUCCUUCAUCAGCCGAUUUUUCUUUGAUCCUCGGUUUCUUUUCUUCGGACUCUUUAGUCGUCUCGCUGGAAGAGUCGCUAUCCAUUCGCACCUCCCACUCCCUAGGAGGUGUUAAGUCUCCCAACCUUACAUUUCUCCAUCCAAGGGUUAAAAACUCAAAAGCACCAACCUCUUGGUGCUUUUGAGAGUAUUCUAGCUCAACUCUAUAUAUAUAUAUAUAUAUAUAUAUAUAUAUAUAUAGAGUCCGGCUGGGAUACUAUCGAUAGCACCAAGGGCUUGAUGCUAUCGAGCUUUCCACCGUUAGAUUUAACCCCUUUAUUAUUUUUACUCGUGAGAUUAUAUUAUUCAACCAAUGUCACACCCCAAUAAUCUCACAUCGGAUAUGAAUGGGGAUGUAAUUGGAUAUAUAAGUGACUUAGACACUAGUAAUAAUAACUGGGCUUAAGCAUUUUGGGCCGGUGGUUAGGCCCAACAAGUUAUUGUUGCUAGUGGGCUGGGUCGUUACAUUUGGUAUCAGAGCCAAUCACCAGCCGAAAAUGUGUGGCGAGUCUCGGCUGAGCCAGGGUCUGAAAGACAAGGUGAUAGGCUAUGCCUGAGUUUGUAUGACAUGGUGACCGGCUAUACUAGGGUCUUAAUGACAAGGCUAGCGAGACGAGUCUCACAUCGAUUGGACUGACGAGGACGUCAGGGUCUUAACGGGGGGAGUCUGUCACACCCUAAUAAUCCCACAUCGGAUAUGAAUUGGGAUGUGAUUCGGUAUAUAAGAGACUUUGUAACCUACCGAAACCUUGGUAAGCCCUAAUGGACUUUAGCCAAAUUGGCUAAAAUAUGCGAAAGAAAUAAUCGGACAAGUUCUAUUUAACAUUCCAACAGUGUUGGAAGGGUUAGAAAUGAGUUCCAAAGGAGUUAGAAAGGUUUUGACAUCGAUCGGCGUGAAAUAGAAUCGAAACGGAGCCAAAAACCAAGUCUGGGUAAAGUGUACCGGUACAACCAUCGAGUUGUAACCGGUACAGAUAUGUGUACCUGUACAAAAUGAAAGUGUACCGGUACAAAUGCCCCAAAUCCAAGGGAGCUACUCUCGGGUUUGGUCAUAUGCGAUCGUAUUACUGGUUACACGAGAAAGUGUACCGGUACACUUUGGGUUGACAGCAGGAAAUAGGUCUGCUGCAAAUAUAAGUUGUUGGGUGGUUUAUUUGCAAAUGUUGCACACUCUAUAUGCAACCAAACCUCUUCUCCUUCACAGCAAUCCUCUCCUCUCUCAUUUUCUCUCCCUCUCUCUCUCUAGAAGCUUUGCACCAAGGCAAAGGAAAAGGAGAAGAAGGCUUGGAAAUGAAUUUUUGAGGGUUUUGAAGGAUCAAGAAGCUCUCCUUCAAGGUGGUCUUCGAAGAGCUUGGGCUAAGGUGAGUUGUUUUGCAAGAAUACAUCUAGAGUUUAGAUUUCUAUCCUAUGAUCUAGAGUUUUUAUCUUCUUGCAAGCUUUAGAACCUUGUAGAGACUUGAAAACACAUGAAAACCAUGUGUUCUUCAAGCUGCUCUAAUGGUAGAUUUCUAGAGUUUACUCCAAAAGCCCUAAGAAUGGUUUAGAUGAUUCUAGAUGAGCUUCUAGAUGUUGGCCAAGCUUGUUUUUGUUUGCCUUAGAGAUCAAAAUGGUGGAAUGAGCAUGUGGCAUUGUUAGGGCACCAAAAUUAGGGCUUUUGUCAUAGAUGGGUUUAAAUGUAAAUUGACCCUAUGUAAACCUAAUUAAAGGUAUUUCCGACGCGUUGGCGAAGUUGGUUCGGCGAUUCGUCGAGCCUACGCGAAGAUAUUGAAGAAACAGACGUUUUGGUUUCGUUUCCGCCUGGAGGGCCGAGGCGACGUCCAAAAAAUCAUGAGAUUGGAUCCGAAGCAUUUUAGCAUCGAGUUAUAGACCUUUACUUUUCGGAUAGUGGAUUGGUGGCUGUUAGGGUGGUCGCGCGAGAGUUCUGGCCGAACCGGGUCACGGGUGCCGCGGAAGGCCGAUUGCAAGUGACUACGAGCAAUCGGAAAGAGAUUUGAUGUGGGUUGUGCUCACCGAAGCAACUUGGUCGCCUCUAUGUCUAAGAGUAAUGGUAUCAUGUUGAUGCAUAUAAUGGUAGCUAGUGGUAAAAUAUAUGAAUGCAUGAAGUGAAUGCUAAGUAGGCUAUCAAAUGAUGCAUGAUGAUAUAAUAUGAAUGAUGCUAGUUAAAAGCAUAAGAUAAUUGGCCUUUGCAUGUUAACAUAAAGUAGAGAACAUGCUAGUUGUAAUGCAUAAUGACAAGUUGUAAAGAAUGCUAAUUUGGAUAAGCAUGUUAUGUAAAUACUAGAUAAUUGCAUGAAGGCAUGGUUAGCAUUGUGAGGACUUUGGAAUACUCGAAUCAGACAACUAAGAUGUCAACUAGAUCGAGUGGCAUUGAACCUAGUGUUAGUAAACAUAGGUUUGACAAGAAUGACAUUGAACCUAAUAUUAGUAAACAAAGGUUGGACAAGAAUGACAUUGAAUAUAGUGUUAGUAAACAUAGGUUGGACAAGAGUGGAAAUGAACCUAGUAUUAAAAGAACAUAGGUUGAGAAUUGAGCCUAAAGUCAAGUAAACCUAGGUUGGAAAGGACAUUGGACCUAAGUGGGUCGACACUAUAGGGUUUGAGACCAACCCUUGAGCUAUGUGGAAAUGGAUUCCGAAAUCCCAAGACUUGGAACACCGAGAGUGGUGUUGGGCGUGUGCAACGAUUUCGCCGCAGGGUAGCUAAGUCAUGGAGCACGGUGGGCUAUGGUUGGCUGAGGUUCUUGUGAGAGUUCCUUCACCUUGAGUCGGACAGAGCGCGGAUUAUCCGUAGUUGAUUGACUCAAGACCAAGUCGAGUGGCAUAGUGUGACUAAGGUAAGAGUAAUCUUAGGAAAGAAUGACAAGUGAGCAUAUUAUGGCUAAGGUGAGAGUACCCUUAGUAAAGAAUAAAGAAUAGCUAAAAAUAAAGAGUAGCUAAUAAAAAAGAAUUGCAAGUAGUAAAGAAUGGCUAGCAAUAAAGAACGAAAAUGAUAGAGAGUAAAAUUAUUUAUUCUACUUGUAUAAUUGCAUGGAUUUCAUAUCGCAUAUCGGAAGGCAUAACAUGUAGUUCAAUAUCGAUUAAAUGUAUAAAUAUCUGUUGUAUAUUUGGACUAACCUGUUGCAGUGCCUCAUUAGACCUAUUGGUCGAGCUCUUCCCGAUUGAGUGUGUGAUGCACUUUUGGAGUUAUAUUUGGCAAAUAUGAGUGAAUUUGGUCUCACGUCCUCCGUAGUGGGCCUUGGAAUUGGUUCAAAGGGUGAAAAGCCAUUCCGGAGUGGAAAAGUGCAUUGAUACCCUCAAUAGCUCGGUAAGUCGAGUUGAGGUGUGGUUUGAAUUUCGCGGACGAAAUUCUUUUAAGGGGUGAAGAAUGUAACCUAACGAAACCUCGGUAAGCCCUAAUGGACUUUAGCCAAAUUGACUAAAGUAUGCGAAAGAAAUAAUCGAACAAGUUCUAUUUAACAAUCCAACAGUGUUGGAAGGCUAGAAAUGAGUUCUAAAGGAGUUAGAAGGGUUUUGCCAUCGAUCGGUGUGAAAUAGAAUCGAAACGGAGCCAAAAACCAAGUCUUGGCAAAGUAUACCGGUACAACCAUCGAGUUGUAACCGGUACAGAUAAGUGUACCGAUAUAAAUGAAAGUGUACCGGUACUGUCACGCCCCGGGACCGGUAGGGGCCUUCCCGGUAGCGUGCCCAGACCCCCAUAUGUCAACACAUAUAAGGCUCAUAUAAGUAACAGCGAAUAAACACAAGAAAUAAUACAAAUAGAAUAGUAACAACUAGUGAUAUCAGAGCGAUAAAAAUUCCAUCAACUCACCCAAAGUGAAGAAAUAAAGUUAGACAAUAAAGAAACCAUAAGUAGUACAAUAACUGUCUCUAUACAAAAGUGUGGUCUCUAGUACAUGGUAAAACCCUAAACUCUCGCAAAAUAAAAUAAGACAUCGAGAGGUAGACCACCUACCAACUCGUCCAUCAAGGAAGCUAGCUCAGUACAAACGCCCUUCCCGCGAUCCCUGGCCUCACCCUGCGUGGAAGGCUCUGAAAAAUAUCGAGAAAAAGAGGGCGUGAGAACUAUAAUUUAUAGUUCCCAGUGGGCAAUUACUGACCUCAGCUCAAUGCAUCACUAGGCCCCAAAAGAAAAGGGUAAGUACAAUAACAAUAGCAAUAAUGACUGCGAUAUGAAAGCCUAAUUAAGAUGCUAAAUUACCAAACUCAAGUAUAAACGAUGUCAUGGUGAUGUACAUCUACGAUAUCGAAAUAGUAAAUCAUUAACUUUUAUGAAUACAUUAUGCAUCAGUUCUGUCAUGGCAACCAAGUAUGCUUUAAUGCAAAAGGAGACUAACAAGUAUACUAUAUGUCUCGACCCUAUGCUAAAAGCAUAUAAAUGUCAUUCAACUACUAAACCUAUCUAGUAGUGAUUAACCACUCUCAACCCCGUGUCGAUUUCCAUUUCCACUUAAGGACCUACCAAAGGUAGUCCAGCUUGUGCCGCCUAAGUGCCUGUGGUAGCCCAACAUUCCUACUCUUGGAAUGUGUCUGUCCCACUCGACUCCGUAGGCUUCUCAAUACCGCACGAGCGAACAUAGGUCGCUAGGCUAACUCCGGAGUGCCGGCUUGUAGGGAGCGACCCUCACAAGCAUGUGCGAAUGAGCACAAAUGGCAAGCAAGCAUAGUCCAAGUCUCAAGUAUCCAAUCCUCAUGUCUCUAUCAUGGUAUAGUCACUAGCAUCCCAAAGAUCUAGUUUAAGUCACAAUGGAAGUUCCAACAUUCUCUAGGUCUAGUGCCCCUUUAUGACACUUAGACAUUUAAUGUUUAAGCAUGUUCCACAUUCCUCAAUGGCCCUAUCCACUAGGUUCGCACAUGUCCCGAGCUCAAUGCCGCUUGAUGACAUUAGCUCUCUAGUUCACGCACCUUCUAAAUGGCAAUUUGUCAUCUUUCAUGUCACAAGUAAACUCAAGUCUAAAUGCAUGAAUCCGAACUCAUUUAUACUAUAGAAGCAUGAAAUCAAGUCUCAUAAAGAAUGCUAAAUGCAACCAAAAAUCUCCCAAGCAACUCUCUACUACAUAGAGGUCCAAAAUUUCACUAUAUAUAACAUAUGCAUUUUAAGCAUUCUAAAAAUCAUAAUAAAUACAUUUAGUAUGAACAUGCAUGCUUUUUCAAUUUACGGAACAUAUAUAACCACAUAUGAGAAUUUCUCAUAUGUAGGCUAGGUCAAACCCACCGAACCGUCGCGUAGAGCCUCGUUUCGCCGAAUAAAGUUGUCCACGAGUCUCAAAAUACCCUAAAAGUGAUCAGCGAAGAGAUACGAGGGCAUUACGACCAACCAUAAAAUCAAACAUUAAUCUAGAAGCAAAAAGGGCCAAAACUCACCUCAAGAGAAGAAAUCUCUUCCAAAGCUCCAAAAGAGAGCUAGAACCCUUCCAAUCCAAGCCCAAGGAAGGUUCUAAACCAAUUAAUCUAGCCUCAAAAGCCCUAGAUCAAAAAGCCCCAAAAUCAACCCUAAAUCUCAUUUCUAGGGUUCCAUCUACAAAAACUAUCAAAACAAGAUCUAGAGGAGGGAAAUGAGCAACAAACCUCCUUAGAAGCUCCAAUCCUAGCUCCAAGGGUGAAGAUCUCCUCCUAUGCAAGCUCCAAGUCCAAGCCUUCAAGCACCAACAAGGUGGGAAGAGGAAGAAAGGCAAAAGAAUGCUCCAAGCCCAAGCUAGAUCCUCCUCUUCUUCUCCUCCUUCCUCUCCUUCUCCUUCUUCUUCUUCUUCUCUAUCAAGGGUGUAGAGAGGGUUGAGAGAAGAGAAAUGGGGAGAGGAGAGAGUGGAUGGGUCAUAUAGACCCUCUAAUGUAACAAAAUCCCAAGAGGCCCCUCAAAAAAACAGUAUUACAUCAGCCCGGUCUGGGCAGUUUUCGCCCAGAGGGACCGGUCUCUCCCCAGCAGGGACCGGUCUCUCGCUGCGAACCCGAAAAACCAACGUUCGGGAACCGGUCUCUCCCUGCGCGGGACCGGUCUCUCACUGCGUAGACGCGCUCGGGGACCGGUCUCGCCCGCCAGGGACCGGUUGCCUCAGGGCUGCCGCAAUACUGCUCACUGGGGGACCGGUCUCUCCUUCCAGGGACCGGUCCCCGAGAGUAAAAACUCUCAGGACUUGUCCAGAAUUCCAGUUUUCGAACUUUUUAGGUCGGAAAACAUUCUACAACCCUCCACCAAGUGUGGAAAAGCUCGAAAUACAUCCAAACACUCGAACCUAGCAAUUUGCAAAGGUCCAGUGCGUCACAGGUACAAAUGCCCCAAACCCGAGGGAGCUGCUCUCGGGUUUGGUCAUACGCGAUCGUGUUACCGAUUACACGAGAAAGUGUACCGGUACACUUUGGGCUGACAGCAGGAAAUAGAUCUGCUGCAAAUAUAAUUUGUUUGGGGGUUUAUUUGCAAAUGUUGCACACUAUAUAUGCAACCAAACCUCUUUUCCUUCACAGCAACCCUCUCCUCUCCCAUUUUCUCUCCCUUUCUCUAUCUCUAGAAGCUUUGCACCAAGGCGAAUGAGAAGGAAAAGAAGGCUUAGAGAUAGAUUUUUGAGGGUUUUGAAAGAUCAAGAAGCUCUCCUUCAAGGUGGUCUUGGAAGAGCUUGGGCUAAGGUGAGUUAUUUUGCAAGAAUACAUCUAGGGUUUACAUUUCUACCCUAAGAUCUAGAGUUUUGAUCUUCUUGCAAGCUUUAGAAUCUUGUAGAGACUUGGAAACACAUGAAAAUCAUGUGUUUUUCAAGGUGCUCUAAUGGUAGAUUUCUAGGGUUUACUCCAAAAGCCCUAAGAAUGGUUUAGAUGAUUAUAGAUGAGCUUCUAGAUGUUGACCAAGCUUAUUUUUGCUUGCCUUAGAGAUGAAAAUGGUGGAAUGAGCAUAUGGCAUUAUUAGGGCACCAAAAUUGAGGCUUUUGUCAUAGAUGGGUUUAAAUGUAAAUUAACCCUAUGUAAACCUAAUUGAAGGUAUUUCCGACGCGUUGGCGAAGUCGGUUCGGCGAUUCAUCGAGCCUACGCGAAGAUAUUGAAGAAACGGACGUUGUGGCUUCGUUUCCGCCUGGAGGGCCGAGGCGACGUCCAAAAAAUCACGAGAUCGGAUCCGGAGCAUCUUAGCAUCAAGUUAUUGACCUUUAAUUUUCGGAUCGUGGAUUGAUGGCUGUUCGGGUGGUCGCGCGAGAGUUCGGGCCGAACCGGGUCACGGGUGCCGCGGGAGGCCAAUUGCAAGUGACUACGAGCAAUCAGAAAGCAAUUUGAGGUGGGUUAUGCUCACCGAAGCGACUAGGUUGCCUCUAUGUCUAAGACUAAUGGUAUCAUAUUGAUGCAUAUAAUGGUAGCUAAUGGUAAAUUAUGUGAAUGCAUGAAGUGAAUGCUAAGUAGGCUAUCAAAGGAUGCAUGAUGAUAUAAUAUGAAUGAUGCCAGUUAAAAGCAUAAGAUAAAUUGCCUUUGAUGUUAACAUAAAGUAAAGAACAUGCUAGUUGUAAUGCAUAAUGACAAAUUAUAAAGAAUGCUAGUUUGGAUAAGCAUGUUAUGUAAAUGCUAGAUAAUUGCAUGAAGGCAUGGUUAGCAUUGUGAGGACUAUGGAAUACUCAAAUUGGACAACUAAGAUGUCAACUAGAUCGAGUGGCAUUGAACCUAAUGUUAGUAAACAUAGGUUGGACAAGAAUGACAUUGAACCUAGUGUUAGUAAACAUAGAUUGGACAAGAGUGGAAAUGAACCCAGUGUUAAAAGAACAUAGGUUGAGAACUGAACCUAGAGUCAAGUAAACCUAGGUUGGAAAGGACAUUGGACCUAAGUGGGUCGACACUAUAGGGUUUAAGACCAACCCUUGAGCUAUGUGGAAAUGGAUUCGGGAAUCCCAAGACUUGGAACACCGAGAGUGGUGUUGGGCGUAUGCGACGAUUUCGCCGCGCGGGGCUAAAAACCAUUGUCGUGGCGUGUGCGACGAUUUCGCCGCCGGAUGGUUUAGCCAAUUUGUGGAUCAUACCGCCGGUUGACUUGAGCCAUUAUCAUGGCGUGUGCAACGAUUUCGCCGCCGGGUGGCUAAGUCAUGGAGUGUGGUGGGCUAUGGUUGGCUGAGGUGCUUGUGAGAGUUCCUUCACCUCGAGUUUGACAGAGCGCGGAUUAUCCGCAGUUGAUUGACUCAAGACCGAGUCGAAUGGCAUAGUGUGACUAAGGUAAGAGUAGCCUUAGGAAAGAAUGGCAAGUGAGCAUAUUAUGGCUAAGGUGCGAGUACCCUUAGUAAAGAAUAAAGAAUAGCUAAAAAUAAAGAGUGGCUAAUAAGAAAGAAUUGCAAGUAGUAAAGAAUGGCUAGCAAUAAAGAAUGAAAAUGAUAGAGAGUAAAAUCAUUUAUUUUACUUGCAUAGUUGCAUGGAUUUCAUAUCGCAUAUCGGGAGGCAUGACAUGUAGUUCAAUAUCGAUUAAAUGUAUAAAUAUCUGUUGUAUAUUUGGACUAACCUGUUGCAGUACCUCAUUAGAUCUAUUGGUUGAGGUUUUCCCAUGGGUGGCUGUACCCACUGGAAACUAUGGACAAUAGUUCUUACCCCCGUGUUGUUUUGGGGGGUACAGGUUCACACGUGAGCGGCGUGGCGGUGUAAGGAAAGGGCGUAGCUCAGUAGAUAGCGCCCUACCCCAGAGACAAGAGAUAGCAGUACCCCAAGGUGGUCUAGCUUAGGGGUUUAAAGACAAAGAACAAACUUGUAUUAAGUGAUGUAAUAACUAAUUGUAUUUUGGAAGAUGAAGGUAAAAGAGAAUUGUGAUGUAAAAUGUAUGUAAGAUGAAUGUCGUAAUAACCUAGUUGUUUUAUGUUUUUGAUACUUCCUUAUGCAAUCUUUGAUUGAAAUGUGUUUCUAAUUGGAACUUCAUACAUUGUAUUGAUUGCGACGCCUUGGACGUACAGGGGAGACUCUGUCCGCGGUACAGAAAAAAUCCUGUCCGUUCGGCGGUCUGUCGGCGUGCCCGAAUUCGACCAAAUAGGUGGGCUCGAGGCGUGACAGACUUAGACACUAGUAAUAAUAACUAGACUUAAGCAUUUUGGGCCGGUGUUUGGACCCAACAAGUUAUUGUUGCUAGUGGGCUAGGUCAUUACAACCAACCACCCACUCAACCCUAGGAGACCUACUUUAUCCUAACCGCACAUUUCUUAAUCCAAAGGCUAAAAAACUAAUAACAUCAAUAGCUUUUUGCUAUUGGUAGUAUUCCAGCUUAAUUCUCUCUCUCUCUCUCUCUCUCUCUCUCUCUCUCUCUCUCUCUCUCUAUAUAUAUAUAUAUAUAUAUAUAUAUAUAUAUAUAUAUAUAUAUAUAUAGACCUAGGCUGGAAUACUAUCAAUAGCAACAAGCUAUUGGUGCUAUUAGGUUUUCGGCCCUCAGAUGAAAAAAUGUACAAUUAUGAUGAUAUGGGCUCNUAUAUAUAUAUAUAUAUAUAUAUAUAUAUAGACCUAGGCUGGAAUACUAUCAAUAGCAACAAGCUAUUGGUGCUAUUAGGUUUUCGGCCCUCAGAUGAAAAAAUGUACAAUUAUGAUGAUAUGGGCUCUCUAGGGUUGAGUAAGUUAUUGGUUAAUAAUAUAAUCUAAUGGGUAAAAAUAGUUAAAGGGUUAAAUCUAACGGCGAAAAACUUUAUAGCACCAAAUGCUUGGCGUUAUCGAUAGUAUCCCAGCCGAACUAUAUAUAUAUAUAGAGUGGGCUGGUAUGCUUCUGGAAGCACGGAGCCCUACGUGCUUCCAAGUUGUUUUCGAUGCUCGGACUUUUGAAUCGACGAUCGGAGAGUAUUUGAAGCACCUAGAAAAUAAAUUUUGUGAUUUUUCGAUAUCAUUUGUCUAGUGAUCGAAGGGGCUCAAAAUCAAUAAUUUUAUCGGCCGUAGUGAGCCGUUUACAAGUUCAACGGUGUAGAAAUAUCCAAAUCACAUGAAAUUUUGAUAGAAAAUUCUUUAUACCGUAUAAAACAAGAUCAAUAACUUUAAUCUAAAAUUUUAAUGUCAUAUCAUCAUAUUUUGUAAGAUUUUUAUUUUCAGCCAUUGAUUUUGAGCCACUUCGAUCACUAGGCAAAUGAUAUCGAAAAAACGCAAAAAUUAUUUUCUAAAUACUUCAAAUACUCUAGAUCAAGUCUAACGGAGCCGAUCGUCGAUUCGAAAGUCCGAACAUCGAAAACAACUUGGAAGCACGGAGCGCUCCGUGCUUCCAGAAGCAUACCAGGCGCACUCUAUAUAUAUAUAUAUAUAUAUAUAUAUAUAUAGAAUUAGGCUGGAAUACUAUUAAUAGUAAAACGCUCUUUUUGCUAUCAAGUUUUUAACCCUUGGAUGAAAAAUUGUAGGGUCAGGAUGAUAUUAGUCGGUUAGAGUUGAGUGGUCCCCCUAGGGUUGAGUGGUCCCUACUGGGUUAUAGUAUUUAAUCCAAUGGUUAGAAAUAAUGAAAAGAGUUGAUCCAAAGGCUAAAAAACUGGUAGCAACAAUGAGAUUUUGCUACUAAUAGUAGCCCAGUCCAACUCUCUCUCUCUCUCUAUCUCUCUCUCUCUCUCUCUCUCUCUCUCUCUCUCUCUCUCUAUAUAUAUAUAUAUAUAUAUAUAUAUAUAUAUAUAUAAUUGAGUUAGAACACUUUUAGAAGCACCAACCCCUUGGUGCUUCUAGGUUUCUAGCACUUGGAUCUACUCCUUGAUUACUAAUAGCCCUUGGAUUAAACACUAUUCCACCUACCACCACCUACUACCACCUACCACCAUCAUCCCAACCUUACAUCUCUCCAUCCAAUGGCUAAAAACUCAAAAGCACCACCCUCUUUGUAACAUACCGGAUUUUUAAUUUAAAAGUGAAUAUAAAUAAAAAUAGUGUGAGAUACUAUUUUUAUUGGAUUUAAAGAGAUAAAAUAUAAGUCUGGAUCGUGCUGCAAUAAGAAUGAAAACAGAAGAUUUAGAAUUUUCUGUGCGAAAUGGGACUGAUAUUUUAGCAGAAAAUGCACAGUGUCAGAAAAUUAUGAAAACUGGAGAAUAUGUCAGAAUUAUGAAAACUGGAGAAUAUGUCAGAAUUAUGAAAACUGGAGAAUAUGUCAGAAUUAUUUUUAUGAUGCUAGAUUUAAAGUUUCAUGUCAUUCUGGCAUCCGGAAGGUGGAAAAUAAAAUCCGACUGCUAUUUGCUAGAGAUUACAGUUGGGUAGAGCUUUCGGUGAUCAAAUGUGAUCGAAACUGAAAGAUUAAAAUUUCUUUCGUUAAGUUAAAUAAAACCGAGUCUGACUGUCAAAUUUGAGCUGAAACGGACAUUCAGAAGGGCAGGCGAAAAAUAUUUGUACCUAAGCUGGAGAUGUAAUUUGUAAUAGUGCAUAAAUGGGAUUUAAUCCCUUUCUUUUUCUUCUCCACCAGCCGACCACCACCACCACCACCAUCACACGCGCAUGGUGCGGGAGAGAGAGAAAGCUUCCCUUCCUCUCUCUAGAUUUCUCUCUCAUCUCUCUAAAUCUCUCUCUAAAAAUUGGAGGGCUGGUGGAGAAGAAGCUUGGGAACGCGUUGGAGGUGUCGGUUCGGGUUCUCGUGCGGCCGUUUGAGCGGCAUGCUUUCGUCUCGACGUUCAAAUUUCGGUAAGUGUUUAGGACUUGGUUAAAUCCUUUAUGCUUAGUAUUCUAAUAACCCUUAGACUACUAAAUGCAUGUUUCUCCAUGAGAUUGUGGGACAUUUGGAGUAUAUGUACAUGCUAGGGCUUAGAAAUGGGCGUUUUGUCAUAGAUGGGGUUUAAUCUAAAUUGAACCUAUAUAAACCUAAUUGCUAGGUAUUCCGACGUGUUGGUGAAGUCGGUUCAGCGAUUCGUCGAGCCGGUGCGAAGAUAUUGAAGAAACGGACGUUUCGGCUUCGUUUCCGCCUGCAGGGCCGAGGCGACGUCCAAAAAUCACGAGAACGGAUCCAGAGCAUCGUGGCAUCAAGUUAUAGACCUUAAAUUUUCGGAUUGCGGAUUGGUGGCCGUUUGGUGGCCAAGUGCGAGUUCGGGCCGAACCGGGCAACAGGUGCCGCGGGAGGCCGAUUGCAAGUGACUACAAGCAAUCGGAACACGAUAACAGGUGGGUUGUGCUCACCGAAGAGAUUAGCUCGCUUCCAUGUCGAAGUGGUAUACGGUUUUAUCGUUGAUGCAUAUAUGUAUGUUUGGUAGGUUGCAAAUGAUAAUAUGGUGCAUGAUAUAAUUGCUAGAUGAAUGCAUGAAUUAUAUUAUGUUGAAAGAUGUUUGCCUACCAUUGGAAUAUGUUAGAUAAAACAUGCAUGUUGACAUAUUAUAGAUUAUGUUGGAUAAACUAUGCAUGUUGCUGUUUGCGACCACGAAUGACGCACCUCGCACGGUUAAUCUUAUUUUUGAUUUUUCACCGUGGGGUAGUAUUCAUGAUUCAGAUUAAUAUUUGAAUAUGUAUGAUUAUCAGGUAUUGUGGAUUCAUGGCUUCCAAUAAACGCAAGCGUCUAUUGUUAAUUACCCCUAUAAAGUGUUAGGGCACCUUCGAUUAAGAGACCUCUGAAAUGCUGAAAUAGACUGAAAUAUAAUAAAAGAUGGAUUUUAUAACACAAUCCGUUGUAUAGUUACAUAGCUUAACCAGGGGCAUACCCCCAGUGUACAUGAGUAUAAUAUGAUAUAAAAGAGAAAAUGAUUAGUUCAACGACAUAAUGGUUGAUUGAACUUAAUUUGGAUUACACCUAUAGUUUUAAAGGAUUAAUCCAAUUAGAUUUAACUAAAUCCUAGUUGUAUGUAUUAGGAUUUAGUUGGGUUUGAAUCGAUUAGACUCUAAUUGUAUGUGUCAGAGUCUAAUCGGAUUUGAGUCCACCAUAAGGUGCAGGAUGGCUAAAUCUACAUGUAUUAGAAUUAGCCGAUAGAUUAACUCUAAUUAUACAUAUUAGAGUCUAAUUAAUUUAAUUGAACUCUAAGCAUGUAUAUUAGAGUCAAACCAUAUUUAAGUUCACUCUAAGGUGAAGGAUGGCUAAAUACUAAAUAUAUAUAUUAGGAUUAGCCGAAAUUGAUUUAAAUUAAACUCUAAUUAUACAUAUUAGAGUCUAACUUGAUUUCUUAUGUUUGAACUCUAAGUAUAUGUAUUAGAGUCCAAUCGAUUUAAUUAUUUUUACCUUAGUCAUAUGUACUAAGAUAAAAAAAGAAAAAAAGACGAUUUGAUCAAUUCUAAGCAUAUAUUUAGAAUUUGAUCGAAUUUGAAUAUGGUUGUGAUUUGACUCUAGUUUUAUAUGCUAGAGAAUCGGGUUGAAAUAGGUUGUUUUUAAGGACUUGGUAUAGAGAAGAGGUUGGAUUAGGUUGUGCAUGAUUGAGGUUAGGUUUGGACUUUGAUUUGGUUAUUAUGGUAUAGGUUUCAUGUAUGGCUUGUCAAAUUUGGAUUGAAUUGAAAUUAAAGAUUGGGUU